UCACUACUAAAUUACAAAUCAUUGUUAAUUAAAAUUGGCUUUGAUAUACCUUGGGAUCCGGGUGGAUUCAUUACUUGAGCACUAAAUGCCUAGCUUAAUGGCUUUAAAGAAAGCGCUGCCAGGGAGACAACCCGGAAGUUUUAGAGAGCCAUUUAUUUCUGUUGAGUGCUUUUAUGUAGUUUAAAAACAAAAAAAUAAAGAGGGGAACCUAAAACUUUUCAAAAAGGAAAGUGAAAGUGAGAGAGAUAAGCAUUGUUGAAGUGGGAGAGCUCGUUGAACUUUGUUCAUCCUCACAGAAACUUUGUGAAUCUUGAUUACAGAAACUUUUAAUCAAAAAUAAUUAUCCCCUUGUACAAUUUAAUUGUAUUAUAAAAAUAAUGUGCCAAGGUUUGCCUUUAGGAUGUUUACAAUGCUUGUUGGUUUGUACGGUGUAGGACAGAAACUUUGGCUGUAGUGCGCGAUUUUAUAUUUUUGAUUGGAACGUCAAUUGGUUCUGAUUCCUUUUGCACUGUCGUUGUAUACAACUUUUUUAUUUUUCCUAAUUUUGGUAGAAGUUUUGGGGUACCAUAAGUAUGGUGGAUGUUCAGAUUGCUACAGACUGUUCUGUUUUUGAUUCAUAGUUUGCUUGUUUUGAUGAAACUAUCAAUUUCUAUCAGUGGAUUAAGCCAUGGAAAAGCUAUAUUAAAGUAGAAACAAUGCAAAAAAUAUUAAUUGGUUUGCAACAGUACUUAGAGUAGUGAUUUGCUUUAUUAUACUAACGGAUCUUACCGAGUUUUCUGUUGAAGUUUUGUGUGGAUGAAGUGUCUAAUCGAGGAGGUUUCGAUAUGAGGAAAAGAAAGAGAGGCAAGAGCUCAAGCUUCGGGAUGCCCAAGGCACCCCAUGUAAAUAUUCAAGGAGACUCAAGCGUCUAAGCUUGGGGAUGCCCCGGAAGGCAUCCCCUCUUUCUUCAACAAGUAUCGGUAUGUUUUCGUAUUCGUUUCGUUUAUGCAUUAUGUGCAAGUCUUGGAGCGUCUUUUGCAUUUAGGUUUCAUUUUUCUUUUAUGCACUAUGCUGGUAUGAGAUAGUCCUUGGUUGAUUUAUAGAAUGCUCAUGGCACCUCACUUAAAUCUUUUGAGUAUGGCUUUAUAGAAUGCUUCAUGUGCUUCACUUAUAUCAUUUGAAGUUUGGAUUGCUUGUUUCUCUUCAUAUAGACAACGACGAUUUGUAGAAUGCUCUUUUUCUUCACUUAUAUUUGUUAGAGCGUGGGCAUAUCUUUUGUAGAAAGAAUUAAACUCUCUUGCUUCACUUAUAUCUAUUUAGAGAGAUGAUAGGAAUUGGUCAUUCACAUGGUUAGUCAUAAAAUCCUACAUAAACUUGUAGAUCGCUGAAUAUGACGUGUUUGAUUCCUUGCAAUAGUUUUGCGAUAUAAAGGUGGUGAUAUUAGAGUUGUGCAGUAAUUGUGAAAUUGAGAAUUACUUGUGUUGAGGUUUGCAAGUCCCGUAGCAUGCACGUAUGGUGAACCAUUAUGUAACGAAGUUGGAACAUGAGGUGCUCUUUGAUUGCUUUCCUUAUGAGUGGCAGUCGGGGACGAGCAAUGGUCAUUUCCUACCAAUCUAUCCCUCUAGGGGCAUGCGUAGUAGUACUUUGCUUCGAGGGCUAAGUAGACUUUUGCAAUAAGUAUAUGAGUUCUUUAUGACUAAUGUGAGUCCAUGGAUAUACGCACACUCACCCCUCCAUCAUUGCUAGCCUCUUCGGUACCGUGCAUUGCCCUUUCUCACCUCGAGAGUUGGUGCAAACUUCGCCGGUGCAUCCAAACCCCAUGAUAUGAUACCCUAUAUCACACAUAAGCCUCCUUAUAUCUUCCUCAAAACAGCCACCAUACCUACCUAUCAUGGCAUUUCCAUAGCCAUUCCGAGAUAUAUUGCCAUGCAACUUCCAUCAUCAUCAUAUACAUGACUUGAGCAUUCAUUUUCAUAUUGCUUUGCAUGAUCGUAAGAUAGCUAGCAUGAUGUUUUCAUGGCUUGUCCAUUUUUUUGAUGUCAUUGCUAUGCUAGAUCAUUGCACAUCCCGGUACACCGCCGGAAGCAUUCAUAUAGAGUCAUAUCUUUGUUCUAGAUAUUGAGUUGUAAGUAAAUAAAAGUGUGAUGAUCAUCAUUAUUAGAGCAUUGCCCCAGUGAGGAAAGGAUGAUGGAGACUAUGAUUCCCCCACAAGUCGGAAUGAGACUCCGGACUUCAUGAAAAAUAAAAGAGGCCAAAGAAGCCCAAAUAAAAAAAAGAGGCCAAAGAAGCCCACCAAAAAGAAAGAAAAAAAAUUAAAAAAUGAAAAAUAAAAGUAAAAAAUGAGAGAAAAAGAGAGAAUGGGCAAUGUUACUAUCCUUUUACCACACUUGUGCUUCAGAGUAGCACCAUGUUCUUCAUAGAGAGAGACUCCUAUGCUUUCACUUUCAUAUACUAGUGGGAAUUUUCAUUAUAGAACUUGGCUUGUAUAUUCCGAUCAUGGGCUUCCUCAAACGCCCGAGGUCUUCAUGAGCAAGCAAGUUGGAUGCACACCCACUUAGUUUUCAGUUUGAGCUUUCAUACACUUAUAGCUUUUAGUGCAUCUGUUGCAUGGCAAUCCCUACUCCUCGCAUUGACAUCAAUUGAUGGGCAUCUCCAUAGCCCGUUGAUUAGCCGUGUCAAUGUGAGACUUUCUCCCUUUUUGUCUUCCCCACAUAAACCUCCACCAUCAUAUUCUAUAACACCAUAGUGCUAUGUCCAUGGCUUGCGCUCAUGUAUUGUGUAAGAGUUGAAAAAGCUGAAGUGCGUUAAAAAGUAUGAACCAAUUGCUUGGCUCGUCAUCGGGGUUAUGCAUGAUUUGAAUGCUUUGUGUGAUGAAGAUGGAGCAUAGCCAGACUAUAUGAUUUUGUAGGAAUGAGCUUUCUUUGGCUAUGUUAUUUCGAUAAGACAUAAUUGCUUGGUUGGUAUGCUUGAAGUAUUAUUGUUUUUAUGUCAAAUGAUAGACUAUUGCUUUGAAUCACUCGUAUCUUAAUAUUCAUGCCAUGAUUAGACAUAUGAUCAAGAUUGUGCUAGGUAGCAUUCCACAUCAAAAAUUAUCUUUUUUAUCAUUUACCUACUCGAGGACGAGCAGGAAUUAAGCUUGGGGAUGCUGAUACGUCUCCGUUGUAUCUAUAAUUUUUGAUUGCUCCAUGCCAAUAUUAUCCAACUUUCAUAUACUUUUGGCAACUUUUUAUAUUUUUUUGGGACUAACAUAUUGAUCCAGUGCCCAAUGCCAGUUCCUGUUUGUUGCAUGUUUUAUGUUUCGCAGAAACCCAAUAUCAAAUAGAAUCCAAAUGGGAUAAAAACAGAUGGAGAAUUAUUUUGGAAUAUUUGUGAUUUUCCUGAGGAAGAAUCAACGCGAAACAGUGUCCAGGGUGGCCAAGAGACAGGGGGCGCGCCCUCCAUCCCUGGGCGCGCCCUGGGCUCUCAUGGGCCACCCGUAAGGCGGUUGAUGCCCUUCUUUUGCCGCAAUAAAGAUAAUUUUACGAGAAAAAUCUGGGCGGAAGAUUCACCCCAAUCGGAGUUACGGAUCUCAAGAUAUAAAGGAAACGGUGAAGGGGCAGAACCAGAGAACGCAGAAACAGAGAGAUAGAUCCAAUCUCGAAGGGGAUCUCACCCCUCCCAAGCCAUGGGAGCCAAGGACCAGAGGGGAAACCCUUCUCCCAUCUAGGGAGGAGGUCAAGGAAGAAGAAGAAGAAGGGGGCCUCUCCCCCCUUGCUUCCGAUGGCGCCGGAGCGCUGCUGGGGGCUAUCAUCAUCACCGCGAUCUUCGCCAACACCUCAAUCAUCUUCACUAACAUCUCCAUCACCUUCCCCCUUCUAUAUUCAGCGGUCCACUCUCCCGCAACCCGAUGUACCCUCUACUUGAACAUGCCGCUUUAUGCUUCAUAUUAUUUUCCAAUGAUGUGUUGCCAUCCUAUGAUGUCUGAGUAGAUUUUUGUUGUCCUAUCGGUGAUUGAUGAAUUACUAUGAUUGGUUUGAGUUGCAUGUUUUAUUAUUGGUGCUGUCCUAUUGUACCCUCCGUGUCGCACAAGCGUGAGGGAUUCCCGCUGUAGGGUGUUGCAAUGCGUUCAUGAUUCGCUUAUAGUGGGUUGCGUGAGUGACUGAAACACAAACCCGAGUAAGGGGGUUGUUGCGUACGGGAUAAAGGGGACUUGAUACUUUAAUGCUAUGGUUGGGUUUUACCUUAAUGAUCUUUAGUAGUUGCGGAUGCUUGCUAGAGUUCCAAUCAUAAGUGCAUAUGAUCCAAGUAGAGAAAGUAUGUUAGCUUAUGCCUCUCCCUCAAAUAGAAUUGCAAUAGUGAUUACCGGUCUAGUAACAUAGUCAAUUGCUUAGGGACAAUUUCACAACUCCUACCACCACUUUUCCACACUCGCUAUAUUUACUUUCUUGCAUCUUUUUCUAAACAGCCCCUAGCUUUUAUUUACGAGUUCUUUAUUAUGUUGCAAACCUAUCCUAUCACACCUACAAAGUACUUCUAGUUUCAUACUUGUUAUAGGUAAAGCAAACGUCAAGCGUGCUUAGAGUCGUAUCAGUGGCCGAUAGGACUUGAGAGAUUAUUUGUUCUACCUUUAGCUCCUUUUUGGGUUCGACACUCUUACUUAUUGAAAGAGGCUACAACUAUCCCGUAUACUUGUGGGUUAUCAGUACCGCUGGUGCCAGCGGUAGUACCGCUGCCCCCUGCGGUAGUACCGCUCUCUGCGGGGCUGUUCUGGGGGGUAACGGUUGGAUUGUUCGCCCCACUAUAAAAGGGAGUCUUCUUGUCCAAACUUGACUCACCUUUUCCCCCAAAAGCUCCAUUGUUGCUCCAAGCUCCAUUUUCACCCGAUCUCUCUCCCUAGCCGAUCAAACUUGUUGAUUUGCUCGGGAUUGGUUGAGAAGGCCAUGAUCUACACUUCCACCAAGAGAAAUUUGAUUCCCCCCUCUAAUCCCUAGCGGAUCUUGUUACUCUUGGGUGUUUGACCACCCUAGACGGUUGAGGUCACCGCGGAGCCAUAGUCCAUCGUGGUGAAGCUUCGUGGUUUCGUUGGGAGCCUCCAAUUAAGUUGUGGAGAUUGCCCCAACCUUCGGUCGCCGCCUUCAAGGGAACCAAUAGUGGAAUCAUGGCAUCUCGCAUUGUGUGAGGGUGUGAGGAGAAUACGGUGGCCCUAGUGGCUUCUUGGGUAGCAUUGUUCCUCCACACCACUCUAACAGAGACGUACUUCCCCUCAAAAGGAAAGAACUUUGGCAACACAUCCUCGUCUUCACCGGCUCCACUCUUGGUUAUCUCGUGCCUUUACUUGUGCAAGCUUAUUUGUGUUGUAUCCCUUGCUUGCUUGUGUACUUGUUGUUGCUGCAUCAUAUAGGUUGCUCACCUAGUUGCAUAUCUAGACAACCUACUUUGAUGCAAAGUUUAAUUUGGUAAAGAAAAGCUAAAAAUUGUUAGUUGCCUAUUCACCCCCCCUCUAGUCAACUAUAUCGAUCCUUUCACCUUAUAUCAAGAAAUUAAAGAUGAAAUAGCACCCUCUGAAAUAGAAGACAUAGAUGUUACUAUUAAACUUGCUAAUAGAGAUACUAUAUCACCAAUUGGGAUUCUUAGAGAUGUUGAAGUCUUGUGUGGGAAAAUAAAAUACCCUACUGAUUUUCUUGUUCUUAGCACCCCACAAGAUGACUUUUGUCCCAUUAUUUUUGAUAGACCUUUUUGAACACCGCUAAUGCUAAAAUAGAUUUUGAGAAACAAACUCACUGUGUUAGCUUUGGUGAUGAAUCUCAUGAGUUUAAUUUUUCCAAGUUUAGUAAACAACCUCAUAAGAAAGAUUUGCCUAGUAAGGAUGAAAAUAUUGGUCUUGCUUCUAUUGUCGUGCCUCCUGCUGAUCCUUUGGAACAAUAUUUGCUAGAUCAUGAAAAUGAUUUGCAUAUGCGUGAAAGAAAUGAAAUAGAUAGAAUCUUUUCCAAACAACAACCUCUGCCUAAACACAAUUUGCCUAUUGAAACUCUAGGAGGUCCUCCUCCACCUAAAGGUGAUCCUGUGUUUGAAUUAAAACAAUUGCCAGACACUCUGAAAUAUGCUUAUGUUGAUUAAAAGAAGAUAUAUCCAGUUAUUAUUAGUGCUAACCUUUCAUCAUAUGAAGAAGAAAGACUAUUGAAAGUUCUAAGGAAGCACAUGGCUGCUAUUGGAUAUACUCUUGAUGAUCUUAAGGGCAUUAGUCCCACUCUAUGUCAGCACAAGAUUAAUAUGGAACCUGAUGCUAAACCCGUUGUUGAUCACCAAUAUCAGUAAAAUCCAAAAAUGAAAGAAGUGGUGAGAAUAGAAAUAUUGAAACUUCUGGAAGCAGGUAUAAUGUAUCCUAUAGCUGAUAGUAGAUGGGUAAUUCCUGUUCAUUGUGUCCCUAAGAAGGGAGGUAUUACUGUUGUUCCUAAUGAUAAGAAUGAGCUUAUUCCACAAAGAAUUAUCACAGGCUAUAGAAUGGUAAUUGAUUAUAGAAAAUUAAAUAAAGCUACUAGAAAAGAUCAUCGCCCUCUGCCUUUUAUCGAUCAAAUGUUAGAAAGAAUAUCCAAGAACACACAUGUUUGCUUCCUUGAUGGAUACUCUGGCUUUUCACAAAUACCUGUUUUACAAUCUGAUCAAGAAAAGACCACUUUUACUUGUCCUUUUGGAACAUUUGCUUAUAGACGUAUGCUUUUCGGUUUAUGUAAUGCACCUGUUACCUUUCAAAGAUGUAUGACUGCUAUAUUCUCUGAUUUAUUUGAAAAGAUUGUUGAGGUUUUCAUGGAUGACUUUUCUGUUUAUGGGAAGUCUUUUGAUGAUUGUUUAAGCAAUCUUGAUCGAGUUCUGCAGAGAUGUGAACAAACAAAUCUUGUCUUGAAUUGGGAGAAAUGCCACUUUAUGGUUAAAAAGGUAUUGUUUUGGGCCAUAAAAUUUCUGAAAGAGGCAGUGAGGUGGACAAAGCCAAUGUUCAUGCAAUUGAGGAAAUGCCAUGCUCUAAAGAUAUCAAAGGUAUUCGUAGUUUCCUUGGUCAUGCUGGUUUCUAUAGGAGUUUAUCAAAGACUUUUCUAAAAUUUAUAGGCCUCUUACUAAUCUUUUGCAAAAGGAUAUUCCCUUUGUGUUUGAUGAUGAUUGUAUGGAAGCCUUUGAUACACUAAAGAAAGCCUUAAUUACUGCACCUGUUGUUCAACCACCUUUUUGGAACUUGCCUUUUGAGAUUAUGUGUGAUGCUAGUGAUUAUGCUGUUGGUGCUGUUCUAGGACAAAGAGUUGAUAAGAAACUAAAUGUUAUUCAUUAUGCUAUUAAAACUCUAGACAGUGCUCAACAGAACUAUGCUCAACUGAAAAAGAAUUCUCAGCAGUGGUGUUUGCUUGUGAUAAAUUCAGAUCUUACAUUGUUGAUUCUAAAGUAAUUGUUCACACCGAUCAUGCUACUAUAAAAUAUCUUAUGGAAAAGAAAGAUGCUAAACCUAGACUCAUUAGGUGGGUUCUUCUGCUACAAGAAUUUGAUUUGCAUAUCAUUGAUAGGAAAGGAGCAGAGAACCCCAUGGUUGAUAAUUUUUCUAGACUUGAAAAUAUUCUUGAUGACCCACAACCAAUUAAUGAUAGCUUCCCUGAUGAACAACUAGCUGCAAUAAAUGUUUCUCAUAGUACACCUUGGUAUGCUGACUAUGCUAAUUAUAUUGUUGCUAAAUACAUACCACCUAGCUUCACAUACCAACAAAAGAAAAAAUUCUUCUAUGAUUUAAGACAUUACUUUUGGGAUGACCCACAUAUUUAUAAAGAAGGAGUAGAUGGUAUUAGAUGUUGUGUACCUGAGCAUGAACAGGAACAAAUCCUACGGAAAUGUCAGUCCGAAGCUUAUGGAGGACAUCACGUGGGAGACAAAACCGCUCAUAAGGUAUUGCAAUUUGGUUUUUAUUGGCCUACUCUCUUCAAAGAUGCCCGUAAGUUUGUCUCAUCUUGUGAUGAAUGCCAAAGAAUAGGUAAUAUGGGUAAGCGUCAAGAAAUGCCUAUGAAUUAUUCACUUGCUGUUGAACCAUUUGAUGUUUGGGGGUUUGACUUUAUGGGACCUUUUCCUUCCUCUAAUGGGUAUACACAUAUUUUGGUUGCUGUUGAUUAUGUUACUAAGUGGGUAGAGGCUAUUCCAACUAGUAGUGUUGAUCAAAACACCUCUAUUAAAAUGAUUAAGGAAGUUAUUUUCCCAAGGUUUGGAGUCCCUAUAUAUUUAAUGACUGAUGGUGGUUCACAUUUUAUUCAUGGUGCUUUCCGAAAAAUGCUUGCUAAGUAUGAUGUUAACCAUAGAAUUGCAUCACCUUAUCAUCCCCAGUCUAGUGGUCAAAUUGAACUUAGCAAUAGAGAAAUAAAACUAAUCUUAUAGAAGACUGUUAAUAGGUCCCGAAAGAAUUGGUCUAAGAAAUUAGAUGAUGCACUUUGGCUUAUAGAACAGCUUACAAAAAUCCUAUGGGUAUGUCUCCAUAUAAAAUGGUUUAUGGAAAAGCUUGUCAUUUACCUCUUGAGUUAGAACACAAAGCAUUUUGGGCAAUAAAAGAACUCAAUUAUGAUUUCAAACUUGCUGGAGAAAAGAGCUUAUUUGAUAUUAGCUCAUUAGAUGAAUGGAGAACCCAGGCUUAUGAAAAUGCUAAGUUAUUCAAAGAAAAAGUUAAAAGAUGGCAUGACAAAAGAAUCCAAGAGCAUGAGUUUAAAGUAGGAGAAUAUGUUAUUUUGUACAACUCUCAUUUUAGAUUCUUUGCAGGAAAACUCCUCUCCAAAUGGGAAGGACCCUAUGUCAUCGAGGAGGUCUAUUGAUCCGGAGCUAUCAAAAUAAAUAAUGCCGAAGGGACUAACCCGAAGGUUGUCAAUGGGCAACGAAUAAAACACUAUAUCUUAGGUACGCCCAUUAAUGUUGAAAUCAAUGUUAUCCAAACUUUGAUACCGGAAGAACACAUAAAAGAGUCCUUCCGAAACACUCCAGAAUUGUGAAAAUAAGGAGGUACGUGAUACAGUAAGUAAACGAACUCCGAAAAAUCCGCAAAAUAUUUUUUGUCAGUUUUGGAAUUUAGAAAAUUAGGAAAAUAAGAAACUUCCAGGAAAGUGACCCUGGUGGGCAGGAUACACCAGGGCGCGCCAGGCAUGCCUGACGCGCCCAGGUGGGUUGUGCCCACCUCGGGUACUUUCUGGUCUCCAUUCUUCUUUUGUUCUGCUUGUUCCCCAAGAUAAAAAAUCUAUAUAUACCUCCCGAACCUAUUAACCUCCGUAUCACGGAGAAAUCACCUAUUUUCUUUUCUUGUUGUUUUCCCGUCAGAUCUGAAAUUAUGUCGUCCCAAGACUUGGAGGGUGAGAGCUAUGUUGCUCACCUCAUCGCUAACCCCAAAUCCUAUGGGGAUGAGAGACACUAUAGCUGGACCUCCGAAGAAGAUGAAGAUGACUCGGUUCCUCCCCGGUUCAAAAACGAAAGCAUGGAGGCGUUAUGCAAGAGGAUAAUAAAACUCGAGAUAGAUAACAACGAGUUGAGGAUAGAUAAUUUUAUUCUUCGUCAAAAGCUGGAGGAAGCAAGGGGCAAACCCUCUACUUUUUCAUUACCACCAUCUUCCUCAUCACCACCAAAAGAAAACUGAGUAUUGGGUAUGGACACUCCCCUUGGCUUUCGCCAAGCUUGGUGGAGGUGCCCCGGUACCAUAUCAAUCUCUACUAUCUUUUGCCUUUACUUUCUUACUUCGAUCAAUGGCUAUCUUUUGCUACUAGAUGAAUACAAGUUUAGUUUGAUCCUUUCUCUUUGUGAGUUUGCUUAGUGAUCAAUUCUUGUAAUCAUGUGCAAGAUAUAUAAUAAAGUCUAGUUUGAAUUUUGCCUUCUUUACUUUCUUGCUGCAAUAAAAGGAAGGGAAAUAAAAUAAAAAGAUCAUAUGCUAAUCUUAUGCUAAGUGAUGACAUUACACAAGGAAAAGUAUAAGUAGAAAAUUUUAUUGUAGAUUGACAAAAAUAGCAUUGGUCAAUGAUGCAACACAUGAAAGAAUUAAAAAGGGAAGAGAAGAUUCACAUAUAAAUAUAUUAUCAUGGAAAUCUUUUGUGAUUGUGAGAACCCAUCAAAAUAUUAUAUGCCAAAAUUGUUGACGUUCGACAAGGAAGACAACUUAAUGAUUUAUUCUUGUUCAUAUUCACAAAGAAGUUAUAUUGUCAUAGAUCCUUCAACAUGUGGUGCUUGCCCCUACCUUUGCUAGCCAAAAACUCCGCACUAAGUAGAGAUACUACUUGUGCAUCCAAAACCCUUAAACCCUAUCUUGUUUGAGAGUCCACCAUACCUACCUAUGGGUUGAGUAAGAUCCUUCAAGUAAGUUGUCAUUGGUGCAAAAAGGGCAAUAAAAAUUGCUUAUAAAAAUGUGAGAUCAUUUAGUGUAAGGGAAAAUUGAGUGUUGUACAAACUUGUGAUGGUGAAGAAUAAAAGCGACAGACUGCAUAAUAAAGGUUGCCAUCACAAGGGGCAAUAUUGUGGCGUUCUCAUGCACUAAGGGGUUGAACAUACAAACAAAAAGCGUAUGGCAACCUCUGCUUCCCUCUGCGAAGGGCCUAUCUUUUACUUUCAUGUAUUUACUUUCAUGCAAGAGUCGAAGUUUUUCUCUCUAUUCAUUUUAUUUUUCUCCUUUGGCAAGCAUCAUGUGGUGAGGAAAGAUCUAGGCACAUAUGUCCAGUUGAAUAUGGGUAGCGUGAGUCAUUAUUGUUGACAUCACCCUUGAGGUGAGUGCGUUGGGAGGCGAAACUAUAAUCCCCUAUCUUCCUGGGUGUCCGAUUGAAACAUUUUGCUCAUGUGUAUGCGGUGAGUGUAAGAAAUCAUAGAAGACUAAAUGAUGGUUGAGUAUGUGGACUUGCCUAAAGGCUCCGAUACGUGACCCUUCCUGAAAAGAUGAUGAGUUUUAGUUGCAAAGUUGACUGAGAACAUAGUUUGUUGGUUUCCAAUAGAGUUUAUGAUUUAUACUUCGAUGUUGUGAUGAUUUGUCACUUUUUCAUGAGAAGUCUAUGAUAAAAGUGCUAUGAUAAAAGUUUUAUAUUAAAGUUUGUUUCUGUUAUAAUAAGUCACAUGAUGCUGCUAUGUUUGUAUUUUUGGUUUUAUCGACACCUCUCUCUCUAAGCAUGUGGACAUGUUUUUCGAUUUAGGUUUUUGCUUGAGGAAAAGCGAGGUCUAAGCUUGGGGGAGUUGAUAUGUCCAUUUUGCAUCAUGUUUUUCUACCGUUAUUUAUGUUUUUUUAUUGUAUAAUAAUGCUUUUUGGACUAAUUCUAAUGCUUUUCCUCUCAUUAUAUGCAAGGUGUGCACCAAGGGGGAGAAUUCUAGCAGCUGGAAAUCUGGACCUGAAAAAGCUACGUCAAGCUACCUAUUCUGCACAACUCCUAAUGAGCUGAAACUCCUCGAGGAUUUUUAUAUUGGAGCAAAUAAGUACCAGAGGAGAGCCACCAGGUGGGCACAACCCACCUGGGCGCGCCAGGAGGCCCAGACGCGCCCUGGUGGCUGCUGCCCUCCUCGGCCCACCUCCAGUGCCCAUCUUCUGGUAUAUAAGUCAUUUUGACCUACAAAAAAUCAGAGGAGGACAUUCGGGACGAAGAGCCACCGCCUCGAGGCGGAACUUGGGCAGGAGCACUUUUGCCCUCUCGCGCAGCAAUUCCGCCGGGGAACUUCCCUCCCGGAGGGGGAAAUCGUCGUCAUCAUCAUCACCAACAACUCUCCCAUCUUGGGGAGGGCUAUAUUCAUCAACAUCUUCAUAGCACCAACUCCUCUCAAACCCUAGUUCAUCUCUUGUGUUUAGUAUUUGUAUGAAAACUAUAGAUUGGUGCUCGUGGGUGACUAGUAGUGUUGAUUACACCUUGUAGUUGAUUACUAUAUAUGGUUUAUUUGGUGGAAGAUUAUAUGUUCAGAUCCAUUAUGCUAUUUAAUACCCCUAUGAUCUUGAGCAUGUUUAUCAUUUGUGAGUAGUUACUUUCAUUCUUGAGGUCACGAGAGAAACCAUGUUGCAAGUAAUCAUGUGAACUUGAUAUGUGUUCGAUAUUUUGAUGGUAUGUAUGUUGUCGUUCUCUUAGUGGUGUCAUGUGAAUGUUGACUACAUGACACUUCACCAUAUUUGGGCCUAAGGGAAUGCAUUGUGGAGUAGUUAUUAGAUGGUGGGUUGUGAGAGUGACGGAAGCUUAAACCCCAGUUUAUUCGCUAUUCCGUAAGGGACCGAUUGGAUCCAAAAGUUUAAUGCUAUGGUUAGAAUUUAUUCUUAAUACUUUUCUCGUAGUUGCGGAUGCUUGCGAGAGGCUUAAUCAUAAGUAGGAGGUUUGUUCAAGUAAGAACAACACCUAAACACCGGUCCACCCACAUAUCAAAUUAUCAAAGUAUUGAACACGAAUUAAGCCAACAUGAUGUAAGUGACUAGAUGAAAUUCCCGUGUACCCUCAAGAACACUUUGCUUAUCAUAAGAAACCACUUUGGCAUGUCCUUUGCCUCAAAAAGGAUUGGGAUACCUUGCUGCACUUUUGUUACUACUUUUUUUACUUGCUCACUACAAAUUAUCUUGCUAUCAAACUACUCCGCUACUUACAAUUUUGGCACUUGCAGACAAUACCUUGCUGAAAACCACUUGUCGUUUCCUCCUGCUCCUCGUUGGGUUUGACACUCUUACUUAUCGAAAAGACUACAAUUGACCCAUAUACUUCUGGGUCUUCAUCGUUGCUCUCUCUCUCUCUCUAUCUCUCUCUCUCUCUCUCUCUCUCUCUCUCUCUCUCUCUCUCUCUCUCUCUCUCUCACGCGCGCGCGCGCGCGCGCCUGCGUGCAACGACGGUUUCCUAGCACCAGCAACCAGACCUUUCUCCACGCCAUCCCUCCUUCCACCCCUACAACCUAAGACCAUGCCCUGGUAGGGAUCCGGUUCCUACCAAUUUGGUAUUAGAUAGAUUCGGUGCGAUCAUGUCCUUGGCGCCGCCCACCCCGACCCUUCCGCUACCGACCGCGACAACCGCCCCAUGGCCACCACGGCCAACGCCCCGCUCUUGCCGGUGCCGGUCACCUCCGCCGCGCCCGUCCCCGUCGUCUUCACCCCGAAGGAGAUAGCGGCUGCCAUCCGGGAUCUUACCCAGGCGGUCAUGGACAUCUACAAGUUCCUUGCAAGAUCCUAUGGGUUGUAGCCGCCUGUGCUCUUCACCACCGCCCCGCCGCUGCAGCAGUCGCCAUCCUCAGUGACCCCCAUUGCCGCUGCCAUGCAGUAGUUGUCAUGGCAGCCGUCACCAGCGACGAACCCCUGCGCCUCCACCAUGCAGCAGGGGCAACAGCUGCAGCCGCUGCCACCAGCGACCGUGGCCCUGGGCAUCCUGACGAUGGGCCCAGGGGUGCCCAUCCACCAGGUCCAGUUUCCCCCCUCAUCGUCUCCGUUACCGGCCUGGCUCGCUGGGUCCCUUGCGUCGGUCUACACGACGACCUCGGUCGGGCCGCACAUGAUGCCUUCACCGCUAAUGCACCCGACUAUGCAGUCUGGCGGGUCGUAGGGCUAUGCCGAGCCCUUUGCCAGCAUCGACGGGCCCCUGUUCCAGGGCAGCACCCUGAUGCCUGCCUACUUGGCCCUGUCCUCCAUGUUGCGUCGUGCUGACGAGGCACACCUGCCUGUCGUCCACGUCCAGACGCCGCCGAGAUUCUCCAAGUUGGAGUUCACGACCUACGACGACACCAUCGACCCCCUGAAUUGGCUCAACCAAUGCAACCAAUUUUUCAGAGGACAACGCACGCUCGCGUCCAACCGCACCUGAAUCGCCUUGUAUCAUCUCCGAUGAGCCGCGCAUACGUGGUACUACGCCCUCGAAUAGGACAAGGGCGGCAUGCCACCAUGGGAGCACUUUUGCGAAUUGUGCCUCUUGCACUUCGGUCCGCCUAUACCCGGGAGCCAUCUGGCGGAGCUUGGGCGUCUUCCGUUCCUCACCUUGGUGCAAGACUUCACCGACCGCUGCCAGGCACUGGCGUGCCACGCCCCCAGCAUUUUGGCUCGUCAGCAGGCUGAGCUCUUUGUCGGUGGCCUAUCGGACCACAUUCGCGUGGACGUGGAGAUGCGCGGGCCACAGGACCUCGAGACGGCCAUGUACUACACCCGCGUGUUAGAGCGUCGCGCGUUGGCCAUCCAGCAGGCGCUACCGCCCCGGGCCGCUGGGCCGCCACCCUGGCCAGAAGUUCCCGCGCAGGUUCUGUGAUACGUCUCUGUCAUAUCUACUUUUCCUAACGCUUUUCCUCUUGUUUUGGACUCUAAUUUGCAUGAUUUGAAUGAAACUAACCCGACUUACACUGUUUUCAGCAGAACUACCAUGAUGUUAUUUUUGUGCAGAAAUAAAAGUUCUCGAAAUGGAACGAAACUUUACGAGGAUUUUUUAUACAAUAAAAGAGAAUUUCUGGAGCCAAGAACCACUGGAGGGGGGCAUCUGGGUGGGCACAACCCACCAGGGCAUGCCACCCCCUCCAGGCGCACCCAGGUGGGUUGUCCCCACCUGGUGUCCCCGCAGACCCUGAAACUGACACUAUAAAAAUCCUAUUUUUCCAGAAAAAACUCAGGGAGAAAGAAUUAUCGCAUUUCACGAGACAGAGCCACCAUUGUCUCCUGUUCUUCAUCGGGAGGCUAGAUCUGGAGUCCGUUUGGGGCUCUGGAGAGGGGGAUCUUCGAUCUUCAUCAUCACCAACCCUUCUUCAUCGCCAAUUCCAUGAUGCUCCCCACCGGGAGUGAGUAAUCCCUUCCUAGGCUCACUAGUCAGUGAGGAGUUGGAUGAGAUUCAUCAUGUAAUCGAGUUAGUUUUGUUAGGGCUUGAUCCCUAGUAUCCAUUAUGUUUUGAGAUUGAUGUUGAUAUGACUUUGCCAUGCUUAAUGCUUGUCACUUUGGGCCCAGGUGCCAUGAUUUCAGAUCUAAACAGUUUAUGUUAUCACCAUUAUAUCUAUGUUCUAGAUCCGAUCUUGCAAGUUAUAGUCACCUACUACGUGUUAUGAUCCGGUAACCCUGGAGUCACAAUAGUCGGGACCACUCCCGGUGAUGACCGUAGUUUGAGGAGUUCAUGUAUUCACCGUGUGCUAAUGCUUUGUUCCGGUUCUCUAUUAAAAGGAGGCCUUAAUAUCCCUUAGUUUCCAAUAGGACCCCACUGCCACGGGAGGGUAGGACAAAAGAUGUCAUGCAAGUUCUUUCCAUAAGCACGCAUGCCUAUUUACGGAAUACAUGCCUACAUUAUAUUUAUGAACUAGAGCUAGUGCCGUAUCGCUCUAGGUUAUGCCUGUCUCAUGAUGAAUAUCAUCCACCAAAUCACCAAUCCAAUGCCUACGAUUUUCCUACAUAUUGUUCUUGCUAAGUUACUACAGCUAUUGUUACUAUUGCACUUGCUACCAAAUCACUGCUAUCACUGUUACUUUUACUAUUGCUGUUGCUACUACUAUCAAAACUAUCAUACUAGUUUGCUACUGAUCACUUUGCUGUAGAUAAUUAAUCUCCAAGUAUGGUUGAAUUGACAACUCAGCUACUAAUACUUGCAAAUAUUCUUUGGCUCCCCCUGUGUCGAAUCUAUAAUUUUGGGUUGAAUACGCUACCCUCGAAAACUGUUGCGAUCCCAUAUACUUAUGGUUUAUCAAGACCUUUUUCUAGCACCGUUACCAGGGAGCAUAGCUAUAUUUGUUGAGUCACUUGGGAUUAUUAUCAAAUUAUCUUUAUGUUGAAUCUGAAGGAUGCUAAGACUAAGAUUUUUCCCUCUAAGACGACGGGAGGUAAGGAACUGCCAUCUAGCUCCGCACUUGAUUCACCUUCUGCUAUAAGUAAACUCGCAACACCACUACAUGCUAUUAAUUCUGAUAUGUCGCAAGUUAUUGAUGAUGCUACUUCUACUAUGAAUGCUACUCAUGAUGAUGCUAGUACCUUGCUUGAUGAUGAUGUGCCACUAGGUUAGUUUCUUGAUGAACAAAUUGCUAGACUAAGACAACAUUAUAUUGUUGAAACUGAUGAUGAGCUUGAAACGGAAAAUCUUGAAACACCUAUUAGAACUAGCCCUCCUAGAUAUGAAUUGCCGAAGGUACCGGAAAGUUAUGUUAUUGGUGAGGAGGCAACUAGAGAUAUUCUUGCUUGUAAGGAUAGAGAUGAUCUAGAAAAAUUAUUAUGCAAGUAUAAAGAAAGAUCUUUGAAUGCUAGAAUGAAACGUGAUCCUAAGUUUGCUACUUCACCUAUCUUUAUUGAUGAUAAGGAUUAUGAAUUCUCUGUCGACCCACAGUUAAUUACUUUGGUUGUAUAUGAUCCUUUCCAUGGUUACGAAACUGCAACUGUUAUGGCACAUCUCACUAAGUUGAAUGACAUAGCCACUCUUUUUCCUCAUAAUGAGAAGAUUCACUAUUACUAUAUCCUCAAAUUAUUUCCGUUCUCGUUAAAGAGUGAUGCUAAAGCUUGGUACAAUACUCUUGCUCCUGGUUGUGUGCGUAGUCCCCAGGAUAUGAUUUAUUACUUCUCUGAAAAAUAUUUCCCUGCUUAUAAGAAACAAGCUGCCUUGCAGGAAAUAUUUAACUUUGUGCAAAUUGAAGAAGAGAGUCUCCCACAAGCUUGGGGGAGGCUUCUCCAAUUGCUUAAUGCUUUUCCUGGUCAUCCUCUUAAGAAAAAUGAAAUACUUGAUAUCUUCUAUAACGUACUAACUGAUGCUUCUAGGGAUUUCCUAGGUAGUUGUUCUAGUUGUGUUUUCAGGGAACGAACUAUUGAGCAAGCUGAAGAAUUAUUGAAUAACAUAUUGAAAAAUUAUGAUGAUUGGACUCCUCCUGAAACACCGCCUAAACCCACUCUGAAGAAGAGGAGUAUCCUAUAUCUUAGUCCUGAAGAUAUGCAAGAGGCAAAGAAAUCUAUGAAGGAAAAAGGUAAAGUAGAGGAUGUUAAAUACCACCUAUUGAAGAAAUACAUGGGCUUGAAACACCACCGCCAUCUAAGGUGGUAGAGGUAAAUUCUUUAAUGAAAUUCAAUGAUAGUGAUGAUCCUCAUAAUAAAAAUCCUAGUGAAUGCCUUUAUGAGUUUGAUAAUUACAUUAGAAAGCAAGUUCACUUCAAUGCAAAUGUUAUGAAACAAUUGAAAUACAACUCUGAUAUGAUUGCUCGCUUAAGUGACUUUCUAUUUAGAAUCUCAAAUGAUGUUAGAGGUGUAGGAAAGCAUGCUUUUAUGGUUCAAACUCAAUUAGAACAAGUUGCUAAAUCUCAAAGAGAGUUGCUUGAUGAAAUGAACAAUAAUAUAAGUGACUUUGCUGUUAGAGCAGCAACUAGAGGUGCUAAAAUGACUCAAGAACCACUUUAUCCUGAGGGACACCCAAAAAUAAUUCAACAUGACUCUCAAAGAAUUAACACUGAUGCACCUAGUCCUUCUAAAAAGAGAAAGAAGAAGAAAAAUGAUAGGACUUUGCAUGCCUCUAGUGAACCUGAAGUAGAAAAACCUCCUGAUAAUGAUAACGAAGUUUCUAUCUCUAACGUUGAAAGUCAAUCUGGUAGUGAACACUCACUGUCACGCCCAAUAUGCGAUCCAAUCCGAGAGGAACUCGAAGGUCCCACCAAGGAUAGAGCCGCAUAUUGAAAUGCUUUUGCAAGGUGGAUAUCAUUACAUCGUAGCAUUACAUAAUAGAUGGGGAUACAUACAAGAGGCAUAUAAAUGCCACAAGAAAACAACAACAUCAUACAUACGAGCAACAUCCGACUAUGAUGACACACAAAUAGAAACUCAAAUGGCAUCCACCCUGCUAGCCCAGGCUGCCGACCAGGAACCUAUCCCUCAAUCAAAGAAGAAGUAGAAGGAGAACUCCAAAACAAGUAAACAUCACUCUCGCGUCAUGAUCAUCACAUUACUUGCACCUACAACUGUUGUUGUAGUAAUCUGUGAGCCACGAGGACUCAGCAAUCCCAUUACCAUGGCUAUCAAGACUAGCAAAGCUUAAUGGAUAUGGAAUGGAUAAGUGGUGAGAUUGCAGCAAGUGACUAAGCAUUGUAUGGUGGCUAACUUACGAGUACAAGAAUAAGAUGAGAAGCUACACGAAUGGCCGCAAACUAGUAAUGAUCAAGAAGUGAUCCUAAACUACUUAUGUUCAAACAUAACCCCAUCGUGUUCUCUUCCCAAACUUGCUCGAAAAGAGACAGUCACGGUUACACACGCAGUUGGUGUAUUUUAAUUCGAAUCUGAUGUCAAGUUCUCUACAGCCGGAUAUUAAAAAUUCCCAUCAACCACAUAAUCGCAGGCAUGGCUCUCGAAAGUUUAAACCCUGCAGGGGUGUCCCAACUUAGCCCAUGACAAGCUCACGAUCCGCGGAGGCAAUCCUCCAUCGCCGGACAUCCGAUCAGACUCGGGAUCCCAGUGCACAAGACAUUUUGACAAUGGUAAAACAAGUCCAGCAAGACCUCCCGACGUGCCGACACCCUGAUAGUAACCGCGCGUAGCUCGUCCGAGGCCAUGAUGGAUGAGCUACGCGUACAGGUGCCAAAAUACCCCAAGUUGCUAAGGGGUGGCCCUGCACGGUGCUCUAGUUUGGGACCAACACCAUCAGCAUUGGCCCCCCUAUUUAUGUGGAAUAAAAAAUCCUCGGGUUCAUGACGCCCUAUGCAAAUUAAUUAAUUAAUUCAAUAUUAUUAUGUUGGCAAAUGUUAAAACCAAUGUUGGGCCUUGCCGGAAGAGUUUUAUUCAAAGCGAACUGUCAAGAGGGCCCCAUAAACCCUCACUAUGUUAGGGACACAAAAUCAAGGAACAUAACACCGGUAUGACGGAAACUAGGGCGGCAAGAGUGGAAUAAAACACCAGGCAUAAGGCCGAGCCUUCCACCCUUUACCAAGUAUAUAUGUGCAUUAAUUAAAAUAAGAGAUAUUGUGAUAUCCCAAGAUAUCCAUGUCCCAACAUGGAACAACCUGCAACUGCAACUGCACCUGCAACUAGCAACGCUAUAAGAGGGGCUGAGCAAAGUGGUAACAUAGCCAAACAACGGUUUGCUGGGAUGGUGGAAAAGGUUAGAGGCUGUUUCAUGGCAUAUAGGGAGGCUCGAUAAACAAGUGGUGGGCAGCGACAUGGCGAUAACAUCGAGACAACUAGCAUAUUAAUGAUAGUAGUGAGAUCCAGGGUAACGGUCAUCUUGCCUAAAAUCCAUCUAGGAAGAAGAACGAGUCCAUGAAGAAGAUGAAUGGGUGUAGAUGAACCAAGCGUAGUCGAACGAAUCCUGACGAUCACAGCGAAACAGGAACUAACGAGAACAAGCACAACCAGAAAGAAGCAAACAACAUGGUAAACACACAACACAUAAACAUGGCAUAAUGCUCAACCAACGAUGAUGCAUGACAAGGCUAUAUGAUGCUACUCAUGGCAAGAGAUUAUGCAUACAAGAACAUCACACCAAGGCAAGUUCAAAUGAGGCCGGAAACAACAUAUAACAAUUCCGGUAAGUCCUCAUAUGAAAAUUUCGAAAUUGGUCUAGAACUGAACAAAACAUUAAGUUGGGGUUGUUAAACAGCAAGUUAAAGUGCACCAAGAUGAUCUAUACAUUUUUAUAAUCAAGUUAUAUAUAAAGUUCAUUUAAUUCGGAGCUACGACCUAGAAGUUAUGAGCAAAACGAGUUAAACAUGGCAUUGAUGCAAAAUGCAUUCAAACAUCAAGCAAACACACUCAAAACAUGAAUUCAACAAGAUAUUAUGAAUCUAUAUGCAAUUUUAAGCAAGUUUUAUAUAGAGCAUGCUCAAAACGGAGCAACGGUUCAACACAUACACUCAAAACAAGUUGUAACAACAAUCUGUCCAAAACCGCAAGUAGGCACUUUGCAAUAAUCAAAACAACAUUCUAUAGGAAGCAUAUGAGCAUAAACUUGAUAUGCACUCAAAUUACUAACAACAUUCUUCAAAUAUCAUUAAGGUUUAGGUUCAUAGGUAUCAUGAUUAAUCCAAGAUGAUCAAUGCAAAAAGCAACUUGAUAACAAAGAUUAUGACGGGUGAAAAACAUGGCAAAUGCAUGAGCGGGGUUAAUAUGAUGACAUGUUGGAGGCAAGAAACAAAGAUUCUACAUCAACUAUACAUAGCAAACAAGGGCAUGGCAUCAAAGUACAAAUAAUAAAGAUUAAAUAACAUUAAGACAUCAUAUGCAUAUGGCUAAUGGAUGAGUGAGAACCAUCAAGACAAGUUUGAAUAUUGUAACAGUUUCAGCAAGUGUGAAACAGCAACAUCACCAUAGCAUGUUUGCAAGCUUGGAACAGAGGUCAUAUGAAAUCUAAAAUUAUCAAAGUUGGCUUGUGUACAAAGUACUCACAUUAUAUUUCAAAACAAGUAAUUGGAGCAUCUCAAAAAGAGGCAUAGAUUACCUAAUAUCAAGCUCACAACAUGGCAUCAUGAAGUUAACAGAAAAAUGAAACAUCAUUUAGGCAAGUGCAUAUCAAUGAAAACACAUGCUAAAAGACCUAUAUAUGGCAUAAAAAGGCAUGGCAUGAUAGAGCAUAACAUGGACAUCAAAACAUGUCAACUAGUCUUCUCCAGAUUAUGCAUGGAUUUGAUGGUAGCAUCAAGAAAACAUGGCAACAUGAUAUAACAGAUUCAGACUUAGCAGAACAUUAACAGCAAGUAGCCCACUUCACAAGAUUGAUGCACUCACCACAGGGAAUAUCAAAAUAAAUAGAUUGCACCACUGCAAAUAUGGCAUGAUUAUGCUCCUAAAACAUGUUGACAUCAUGCUCAAAAGAAAAUCACACAAAAAGAUAUAAAAAGACAAAAUGACAAGUUACAUCAGUUUUCAGUAGUUAACAUCAGCAAGCACUUUUGCAACAGAGAUUAAGGCAUCAAGAUGAACAAUAACAUGAAUGAAAAAGCAACCAUCAUGUAGAGCAUCUCGAGACGAGCAUUUUGACAUAUCAUACCCGCAAAAUGGAGGAACAUGCACAAGCUUAUGACAUGAUGAAGAUGCACACAUGAGAUGAUUUUCCUAGGGACAACCAAAAUUUAAAAAAUAACAGUGGCGCUGAAUAGAAUUCUACACCCAGGGCAAGACUUAGCAGGGCGGGCUCACCAGAAUGGCAUUGGGUCGGCGGCGGAGAGGCAGGCCGGGCGAGGCAGCAGGCUAGCGGAGGAGGUGGGCUGGGCCGCGGUCGAGGCCGGCCCAGGUCACGGGGGUCGGGCGGUGGUCGCGGCCGGCAAGGUUGCCGAGGCAUGGCGGCGGCGGAACCGACACUGGGGCGUCAAAGAGGGCCGGGGCGGGGCAGAUCUGGUCACCCCUAACCCAAUCCGACCGGAUCCGGCGAUCGUGGUGGCAGACGGAGCCCGGUGAGGUGUAGGUCGCCAACGGGCGGCUCCAAGGCGGCGGCGGGUGGCGAAGCGGCGGGGUCGAGGUGCGGCGGCGGAGGCACGCUCUGCCGGCGAGGUCCAGGUGGCGGGGUGGCGAUGGAAGGGGCGAGGUGCAGGGAGGAGGCCAGCGCUCGGGCAUGGGCUCGGGCGGUGGUGCGGAUGGGCGUGGUCGACUGUGGGAGGAGCGAGGCGGGAGGCGCAGGCGGUGGCGCACGGGCGCGGUGCGCGCUCGGGCCCGGUGCGGCCCGGGGCAGGCUGGCCAUGGGUUGGGCGGGCAACGGCGGUUGGAGGCUGGUUGAGGCGACGCGGGGUGACGUGGCAGCGCCGGAUUGGCUGUUGAGGCAGCGGUGGACAUGUCCGGCGGCGGGGUUGGACGUGUCCGGCGGCGCGAGGAGGAGGAGGCUAGGGUUUGAUACGGAAUUUCGGAGGGGGAGGUGUUUAUAUAGAUUCCGGGAGCUCGAGAGGGCUAUUGAGGUGUGGUUUUCGCCCACACGAUCGUGAUCCAAUGGCGAAUAUCAUGGAGGGGGUUUAGAUGGGCUAGUGGGCUAUGGUGGAGGGGUGCUGGGCUGAAAAGAGAAAGGGGUCCAGCGGUUCAUGCGGUUAACCAUUGGGGCAUCAAACAACCUCCAAAUGGAACGGAAUUUGACAGGCGGCCUGCCGGUGAUAUACCAAGACCACUCGUCAACUCUCGUCCCUUUCUGAGAACACUUUUCUCCCGCUCAUGAAACAAGAUCUGGGAGGUGCGAAUGGUGCGUGCGAGUGUGGUUGGGCUCAGAACAGACAAUGGAGAGAACUGGGAGACCCGAACGGAUGUAAGUUUUGAAAAACAUGCAGAUGAAAUGCAUAUGAUGACAUGGCAAAGUGCAACACGCAAGCGGAUGACAUGGCAACAACGACGAAUAACUGGAAGACACCUGGCGCAUCAGGCUCGGGGCGUUACAACUCUCCUCCACUAACAGAAGAUCUCAUCCCGAGAUCUUAGGAAGGAGACGAAAGAGAAAGAGGAUAAGUUUAAGCAAGAACACAAGAGAGAAGAUGAACAAAGUCGAGAGCACUUGGUAGAAAGGAGGGAUGGCGAAUAUGACGAGAAUAAGAGUUCAAGGGAUAAGGUAGACUCUGAAACCACUCCGGUUAGGACAAGGUAGAAAAGGAAUGAGAACGAAAGAAUUUGGGCAACACUCCGUCUUGAAAUUGAAGGAAUAGCACAUGAACUUCACAAUAUGGGAUGACACUUAAGAGAUGAACAACACAAUACGUCCGAAAGAAUUGAAAAAGUGGAAUGAAAGGAACGGAUAAGAAAAAAACAACUUCCACCACAAAUAAAUUUUAUAGCAUCCUUAGAAGGAAGGAUUGAAUGGAGUUGUUGAGAAAAUCAACAACAAAAUAAUAAGCUUGUUGUGGACUUAUGGAAAAAACAUCUCAAAACUUGAGGUGAAAUUAUGCCACAACUGAAUGCUUGAAUAUCUGAGAAGAAUGAAGAAAUGUAGAACUCCACUUCAAAAGAAUACGGAGAAUUGAUUGCACUUUAAGACACAAGAAGAAAAGAUACUUGAAUUCCUCCAACAAGAAUCUUGAUGAACACUUGAAGAAUGAAUUAAAUCGUGAAGAACCACCAUGAAGAACUCAGGUAAAACAAAAGGACGGGGGUUUCGAUGAGAUGGCCAAGGAAACUUGAACUCUGAAAAGAAAAGACGAAAACACUUGGGACUAGAAUUUAUUCAUCAUGAACAAAAUAUGAAGGAAGGGAUUACUCAACUUGAUGAAAGGAGAAUAAGAAUCAUGUUAUGCUUAUCCUCCACCCAUUAAAUCUACGGGAAGCAAUGUAUUUGCAUACUACUUAUUCACGUUAGAAAAGAUUAAGGGGAGAUAUAACACAAAACUUGGGAAGGUCUUCCUGAACCACCGGUAGGAUUGGAAAGAACGAAUGAAUUGAUAUGAUAACAAAGGAAAAGAAAUCUUGAACGAACCAUCAUGAGAAUUUGAAAAAUAAUGAAGAAGUGAGAAUGAAUCGCCGGGAAGAAUUAGAAGAACAAAUAAGCUUGAGGGGAUAUAGAUGCAAAAGAACAAAGAGAUCACGAGCUGAUGAAAGACUACUUGAGAGACGUGCGGGGGUAAUUGGAUAACGAUAGCUGAAAUGUGAGGAUGAAGAACUCUUAUGGAAUGAUGGCCUCCGGGAGAUCGAGAGAGAAAGCAACUCCUAAAAUGCUUUGGAUGGGUAUGAAAAGAAUGCUCACAAUCAGAAAGAAUUUUGAGAUAAUAUGUUGAAGCUUGAACAAUGAAUCUUCGAGAGAACGAACAAGAUUUAAGAGAAACUCUUCUUCGGUCUUCAAAUGUAGAGAAUGGCGACAAGAAACACCACCAAAACUGUUGAGAAACUCCGGAAUAAUGCAAAGGGUAAAGGUUGAGCGAAAUAUGAAAAUGAUUCGAAAGCGAUAUCGAAGGAGGCAUCUGACUGAUGAAAUUCAUUCUUACAUCACACUUUGAGAUGGAUUUGAGAAUAACUACGAAAGAAUUAGACGAGUCAGGUAAGAUCCUGUGAAAAGACUUGUGGGUUAGGGCCCACUAAAGAGAAAACACCGUUGGAAACGAUUGAAGAAGCGAGAUGAUGCACCAAAACGAGAAAUAAUGCACCGAAACAAUUGAAGAGUUGAGUGAGGUGACAACCUCGAAAUAAUUGAAUGCAGAGACGAAUCUUCUGACAUGUCUUGAGCACUCCAGAAGGAUAAACUGGCGAGAGAUGAAUGAGCGAGGGGGGGGGGACAUUUGAGCCAAGGCAAAUAAUACGAUCAACACCGAAAAUUGGAAUUGAAUCCACCAAAAAGGCAAACAAGAAAAACAAUGAUGAACUAUAUGAGAAUUCACUGAUUGAAGUGAUUGAGGAAAGACUGAAGAGGCUCUGCACGAAUGAAAUUGAUGCUCGAAUAGAGACUCAGACUCCGGGAAGAAAAAGGGUGGGAGGGCGGGAAAAACAAAGGCAACUUGGAACGGGGAACCGACGAAUAACUUGAAGUGAAAAGCACCGGUUGAGAUAAUUGAGGAAAGAAUGUAGAGGCUUCACACGAGUAGGAUGGAUACUCGAUUACGGACUCCGGCUCCGAAAAAAAAGGUGGGCAGGUGGGAAAAUAUAGAUAACUUUGGACGACAUUGCUUCCCCGUCCGAGAAAGAAUUGAGGAUUGAUGUUGGCAAAUACAAAGGAGAUCGAAUCAAGUUGACGAGAAAUGCACUAGACGAAAAGAGUUGGCAUCACAACAAAGAAAAACUAACUCAUGAUCCUAAAGAAAAUUUGAAGGGGAAGAGAAGUAAUUCAAAACACCUACAUCAAGAUUUCUCACCAGAGCUAUGAAGGGGCUGAGGAGUAAAAAGAAGUCCUACUCUCCGAUAUAACUAGACUUUGAAAAAAAAGUUUUCUUCUAGACUCAACAACGACCAUGCUACGGUCAAUCAAGGGGGCUCCUAUGGUCUGUCAAGGCUCUGAUACCAACUUAUCACGCCUAAUAUGCGAUCCAAUCCAAGAGGAACUCGGAGGUCCCACCAAGGAUAGAACCGCAUAUUGAAACACUUUUGCAAGGUGGAUAUCAUUACAUCAUACCAUUACAUAAUAGAUGGGGAUACAUACAAGAGGCAUAAAAAUGCCACAAGAAAACAACAACAUCAUACAUAAGAGCAACAUCCGACUAUGGAUGAAACACAAACAGAAACUCAAAUGACAUCCACCCUGCUAGCCUAGGCUGCCGACAAGGAACCUAUCCCUCAAUCGAAGAAUAAUCAUAAGGAGAACUCCAAAACACGUAAACAUCACUCUCGUGUCAUGAUCAUCGCAUUACCUGUACGUGCAACUGUUCUUGUAGUAAUCUGUGAGCCACAAGGACUUAGCAAUCCCAUUACCAUGGGUAUCAAUACUAGAAAAGCUUAAUGGGUAUGGAAUGGAUAAGUGGUGAGGUUGCAGGAAGCGACUAAGCAUUGUAUGGUGGCUAACUUACGAGUACAAGAAUAAGAUGAUAAGCUACGCAAACGGUCACAAACUAGUAAUGAUCAAGAAGUGAUCCUGAACUACUUACAUUCAAACAUAACCCCACCGUGUUCUCUUCCCGAACUUGCUCGAAAAGAGACAGUCACGGUUACACACGCGGUUGGUGUAUUUUAAUUUGAAUUAGGAGUCAAGUUCUCUACAACCGGAUAUUAAAAAUUCCCAUCUACCACAUAACCGUGGGCACGACUCUCGAAAGUUUAAACCCUGCACGAGUGUCCCAACUUAUCCCAUGACAAGCUCACGAUCCGCGGAGACAAUCCUCCAUCGCGAGACAUCAUAUCAAACUCGGGAUCCCAGUGCACAAGACAUUUCGGUAAUGGUAAAACAAGUCCAGCAAGACCUCCCGACGUGCCGACACCCUGAUAGUAGCCGUGCCUAUCUCGUCUCAGGCCACGGUGGAUGAGCUACGUGUACAGGAGCCAAAAUACCCCAAUUUGCCAAGGGGCGGCCCCGCACAUUGCUCUAGUUUGGGACCAACACCAUCAGUGUUGGGAAACGUAGCAUGCAAUUUCAAAAAAAACCUAUGCUUACGCAAGAUCUAUCUAGGAGAUGCAUAGCAACAAGAGGGAGAGUGUGUCCACGUACCCUCAUAGACCGAAAGUGAAGUGUUAACUUAACGCAAUUGAUGUAGUCGAACGUCUUCUCAAAUCAACCGAUCAAGUACCGAACGUACGACACCUCUGACUUCUGCACAUGUUCAGCUCGAUGACGUCCCUCGAACUCUUGAUCCAGUAGAGUGUCGAUGGAGUCGAUGAGUUCCGUCAGCAUGACGGCGUGAUGAUGGUGUUGGUGAUGUGAUCUGCGCAGGGCUUUGCCUAAGCACUACAAUGAUACUAUCGGAUGAGUAAAUGAUGGAGGAGGGCACCGCACAUGGCUAAGACAAUUGUUCUGUCUUUGGGGUGCCCCCUUGCCCCCAUAUAUAAAGGAGGGGGAGGAGGCCGGCCACCAGGGGCGUGCGCCAUGGGGAGGAGUCCUACUAGGACUCCACUCCUAGUAGGAUUCACCCCGCUUUUUUCCUUCUUUCCAGAGGGGAAAAGGGGAAGGGAGAGGGAACCGGAGAAGGCAAGGGGGGCGCGCCCCCUCCCCUAGUCCAAUUCGGACUCCCUAUGGGAGGGGGUCGCGACCACCCCUUGUGGGCUGCCUCCCCUCUCCCCUAUGGCCCAUGUUGGCCCAUUACUUCCUCGGGGGGUUCCGGUAACCUCCCGGCACUCCAAAAAAACAUCUGAAACUUCCCGAAACCAUUCUGGUGUCUGACUGUAACCUUCCAAUAUAUCAAUCUUUACCUCUCGACCAUUUCGAGACUCCUCGUCAUGUCCGUGAUCUCAUCCGGGACUCCGAACAACCUUCGAUCACCAAAAUACAUAACUCAUAUAAUACCAAUCGUCAUUGAACGUUAAGCGUGUGGACCCUACGGGUUCGAGAACUAUGUAGACAUGACCGAGACACCUCUUCGGUCAAUAAUCAAUAGCGGAACCCGGAUGCUCAUAUUGGUUCCCACAUAUUCUAUGAAGAUCCUUAUCGGUCAAACCACAAUGUCAAUAUAGUUAUUCCCUUUGUCAUCGGUAUGUUACUUGCCCGAGAUUUGAUCGGCGGUAUCAUCAUACCUAGUUCAAUCUCAUUACCGGCAAGUCUCUUUACUCGUUUCGUAGUGCAUCAUCUUGCAAUUAACUCAUUAAUCACAUUACUUGCAAGGCUUCAUAUGAUCUGCAUACAAAGAGGGCCCAGAGAUACCUCUCCGAUACUCGGAGUGACAAAUCCUAAUCUCGAUCUAUGCCAAUCCAAUAGACACCUUCGGAGAUACCUAUAGAGCAUCUUUAUAAUCACCAAGUUUUGUUGUGAAGUUUGAUAGCACACAAGGCAUUCCUCUAGUGUCCGGGAGUUGCAUAAUCUCAUAGUCAGAGGAAUAUAUAUUUGACACGAAGUAAGCAGUAGCAAUAAAACUGAACGAUCAUUAUGCUAAGCUAACGGAUGGGUCUUGUCCAUGACAUAAUUCCACUAAUGAUGUGAUCCCGUUAUCAAAUUACAACUCAUGUCCAUGGCUAGAAAACUUAACCAUCUUUGAUCAAUGAGCUAGUCUAGUAGAGGCAUACUAGGUACAUGUUGUUUUGUCUAUGUAUUCACACGUGUAUCAAGUUUCCGGUUAAUACAAUUCUAGCAUGAAUAAUAAACAUUUAUCAUGAAUAAGGAAAUAUAAAUAACAACUUUAUUAUUGCCUCUAGGGCAUAUUUCCUUCAAUCUCCCACUUGCACUAGAGUCAAUAAUCUAGGUUACAUUGUAAUGAAUUUAACACCCAUGGAGUCUUGGUGCUGAUCAUGUUUUGCUCGUGGAAGAGGCCUAUUCAACGGGUCUGCAACAUUCAGAUCUGUAUGUAUUUUGCAAAUCUCUAUGUCUCCCUCCUUGGCCAAAUCUCGGAUGGAGUUGAAGCGUCUCUUGAUGUGUUUGGUCUUUUUGUGAAAUCUGGAUUCCUUCGCCAAGGCAAUUAAUCCAGUAUUGUCACAAAAUAUUUUCAUUGGAGCCGAUGCACUAGGUGUUACACCUAGAUCGAAUAUGAACUCCUUCAUCCAGACUCCUUCAUUUGCUGCUUCCGAAGGAGCUAUGUACUCCGCUUGUCACAUCCCUAGUUCUGGUCAGCUUUGGGUUAGCUAGUCUUGUGUUGCAUCAUGUUUAUUUAUUUUUUGAAACUUGAAAUGGGGAUGACCAAAUCCCAACACCAAAUGAAUUCAACUAGGUUCACAUUCAAAUAUUCUCAAUGAACCCAAAAUGCCUUAAAAAUGUUCCUAAUUUAUGGAACAAGGUGAAAACCUAAACCAAAAUUGGUGGACAUUUUUCCAGGACUUAAAUGGGCUUUGAAUUAAUCCAAUAUGUAUUUGAAUUGGAGCUUUAAAAUUCUAUAAACAUUUUUACUAGCUCCAAUAAUUUUGAAACUUGGUGAGGGCCUCUAAAAUAAUUUAGUUAGUGCCCAUAAAAAGUUUCGGGAUUUUAUCAAAUGGUUUAGUGCCUAAACUAAAUCAAAACAAAUGACAGAAAUAGAAAAACAGAAACUAAAUUAGAAAGCAGAGGAGAGAGAGAGAGAAACCUCACCUGGGCUUACCUAGCGGCCCAGCAGAGGCCCAGCCCACUAGCCUCUGCCAGUCACCCCCUUCCACUCGCCAGAAGGAUGGGAGGAGCGUGCCCAACACGCGCGCCCACGCGCCGGCCACCUCCUGCUUGUCUGCAUUCCUCCCGACCCCCAGGACGAUGCCACACCACCUGGCAGAACCCCUUCGACCCCUCCCUCAUCCUCAUGUCUCCUCUGCCUCUCUUCCCCGCUCUUCUCGCUCGCGUCCGAGAGCGCCGACGAGCACCACCGUGUCCACCGGGCUCCCCUCGUCCCUCUACCUGCUCCAACGGAUCCGCCUCGACCACCUCUUCCUCCUCGCCAAGAAACACACCACGGGAAGCUCUGCGUCGCCUCCAUGCCAUCAUCUUCAACCUCUCAGUCGCCGAGAUUGCCGGCAUCCAUUCAUCGUCUCCGACUUGUCCUCGAGCCUGCUGACCAUUCCAUCGUCUCCGCUGUGAGAUUCUGCGUAUGUUCCCCCUCUUUCUGAGCUUGUUUACGCCCCGUGGCCGUUGCCAUCUUGCCGAUCGAACCGCGCUGCCGCUCGAGCUCGUCGGCGACAAUGCUCCGGUGACCGUUUGGUCCUAGACGCGUGUCCACCGAGCUUGCCGCCCCGCGCUGAGCCUCGCUAGCGCCUCCCCUUGCCCGCUUGCACCCCGCAAUGCUAACCGCACGCAUCCGAGCUCCGGCCACCGCGGCCGAGCUCCUCGCCGUCGCCUCCAGCCGCCCCAGGCCCGGCUGGCUCCACCACCCGACGCGCGCUGGUCUGGGCUCUUGAACGAGCCCAGCCACACCGCGAACGGGGCGCCACAGCCCAUUCCCGAGUGCCCCGCCGCGUCUGCUGCCACCGGCGGCUAGACGCCGGCGGGUUUGACCCACUAACCAGGGGCUUGACCUCCCCCUGGGUCACUAACAUGCGGGACUAGCCCGCCCAAUUUAAUCUAGGUUAGCUUAAGUUAAAACGCUAAUUAACCCAGUUAGUUAGGUUAGUAACUGACACGCGGGCCCACUGGUCAGUUUGACCUGGGCCGCCCGUUGACCUGGUGACGUCAGCAUGAUGUCAUGCUGACACAGUAAACUAUUUUCUGGUUUUAGUCUAAUUUAAAAUAACCAGGAAAUUCCAGAAAAUAGUUAAAACUUCUAAAAAUCAUAGAAAAUAAUCUAUAACUCAGAUUUAAAAGAUUUAUAUAUGAAAAAUUAUCAGAAAAAUCCAAAGAAUCUGUUUACGGCAUUUUCAUGCAUGUUUGAACAACUUACAGCCACUUUUUAUGACAAUUUGAAUAAAUGGCAUUUUAAAUGUCCCAUGUGGAGUUUGAAUUUGAACCUAGUGUUCAAACCAACUCCAUUCAAAUCAUUGCUAGUUGCAUGAGCUCAAAUCACAACAUAUUGCCAUGUCAGAUUCAUGCAUCAUAUUGUUGCAUUGCAUUGAUUGUGUUCCUUCUCUGUUUGCCGGUGUUGUUCCCUCUCGAUAGACGUGUUCCAACGAUGAGUUCGAUGACACCGAUGAAGAGUCAUAUCAUCUUUAGAAUUGCCAGGCAAGCAAAACCCCCUUGUUCAUUCCGAUACAAUCCCACUCUCUCGCUCCUGCUCUCUUUUACUGCAUUAGGGCAACAACUAUUCAUCUGUUACUUGCUGCGGUAGUUGAACCCCUUAUCCUCUGCAUGACCUGUCAUUGCCACAGUAAAUAUAUGAAACCCACUAGCAUGAGUAGGAGUUGUUUGAGCCCUGAUGUGCCUAUUUCUCAUUCGUGCUUGUUUGUCAUCCCUGAUAUUGCUCAGAGUUGUGUUAGGUUUGAUUCAUCGGGGAUGAAUUGGAAAGUGGUGAACAUGUCCUACUAUUGAGAGCUAAGUGUGUGAUCACGAUUUGGUAAAGGUAGCGGUGAGAGGCCAUGUAGGAGUACAUGGUGGGUUGUCUCAUUGAAACCGUCCUCGGGAACUGAGUUCUGUGUUUGUGAUCCAUGAAUAGCUACUACCACACAUUGGAUUCCGGUAACUCGGCCGCUCUCGGCUUAUUAAUCAACUUGAUCUUUGUCCACGAGUUGCAACUAGUUUCUGGUGCUUGUAGGUAGUGCUAGUAGUCUACCAAGUGGCACCCGGUAUAGGUGGGCUUGGGACAGUCUAGGCACAGUGGCACGGUGUACCAAGUGGCACCUGGAUGGUGGGCUUGGGAACCCUGCUCACAUCAUUUGGGGCCAUGAGCGACACCCCGGCCGAAUCUCCUUGCGGAUGGAACCCGAAUAGGCGAUAAACCUGGACGAGAGACUUGUGUGGUUAGUCAGGUCGUGGACGACACCGUCGCUGGGCUUUCGCUUAAAGGUUGCCGAGUACAUGUCGUGUAAAUGAUGAUAAGUGGUGAGAGCGUGUGUGAAGAAGUACACCCCUGCAGGGUUAACAUUAUCUAUUCGAAUAGCCGUGUCCGCGGUAAAGGACUUUUGGGUUGCCUAUAUAGUUCAUAGACAAGUGAAAGUGGAUACUCUAAAAUACGCAAGAUAAGCGUGAGUGCUAUGGAUGGCGUCUCGUAGGGAGACGGGAGCAGAUCCAUAGUGGUGUAUUGUGAUGGUGAAUAUGUGGACUCGUGUGCGCCACCUCAAAAGAGUUACUUGCAAUCGUAGUUCAGGAUAGCCACCGAGUCAAAGAUGGCUUGCUGCAGUUAAACUCCACCACCCCCUUUGUUGAUAAUGAUGCAUGUGUGGCUAGUUUUGAUGUAAGUCAUGUUGGGUACAUUUGUACUCACGUUUGCCCAUUUUAUGUUUUGCAGAGAGACUUUAGUCUCGAUAGUAGUUCCGUGUGGACUUCGACGUUUAGCUUGUUACCUCAGCUACGAUCUUGUGCCCUUGGCAGGAUCUUUUAGAUAGUUAGGCUUCUCAGCCUUUUUUAUUUGUAGAUGUCUGUACUCACACAUGUUAAGCUUCCUCUUGUGCUUUGACUUGUAUGCUCUGAAUGUUGGGUCAUGAGACCCAUGUUUGUAAUAUCUCGCUCCUUGGAGCCUAUUGAAUAAAAUACUUGAGUUGUAGAGUCAUGUUGUGAUGCCAUGUUGUAUUUGCACAUAUCGAGCAUAUUGAGUGUAUGUUAUUGAAAUGCUUGGUAUGUGUGGGAUCUGACUAUCUAGAUGUUUAUCCUUGGUAGCCUCUCUUACCUGGAAAUGUCUCCUAGUGCUUCCACUGAGCCCUGGUAGCAUGCUACUGCUCUAGAACACUAAGGCUGGCCGGCAUAUGUCCUUGUUCGUUCCUGUGUCUGUCCCUUCGGGGAAAUGUCACGCGGUGUCUAUCGGAGUCCUGUUAGCCUGCUAUAGCCCGGUUUACCGGAGUCCUGCUAGCCCAGUUGCUACAACCCGGAUUCACUCGCUGAUGACCGACACGUUCGUUGUUGGGUCAUGUAUGCCUGUCCCUGUAAUUUAGUGCUACUUUGGGUUCAUGACUAGCCAUGUCAGCCCGGUCUCCUUGUCAUAUGGAUACUAGCGACACUAUCAUAUACGUGUGCCAAAAGGCGCAAAUGGUCCCGGGCCUGAUAAGGCAACACCCGUGGGAAUACCGUGCAUGAGGCCGCAAAGUGAUAUGAGGUGUUACAUGCUAGAUCGGUGUGGCAUUGAGUCAGGGUCCUGACAGCUUUCACUACAAGAAAUCGGUUAAUACAUGACGGAUUUCCGGUGACGUUCUGGGAAUCCGUCAUGAACCGGCCUAGCACGGCCCCAAAGGCCGCCCAAGCCCGCUGGAGCCCGCCUAACCCAUUCCUCGUAUAAAAUCUAACCCUAAGUUUCUCCCUGCCCUCAUCUCGUUCUCCCUCAGCUGCCGCCCCCAUCUUCUUCCUUCUCCCAGAUCCACUCCUUUCCGUCCGCCGCACACCCAUCACUCCGACGUUCUCUUGUUCCUCGACCCAGUCCCCACCUCCCCAUCCUCUCCCGACUUCCUCCACCCACACCUAGUGGCAACUAUCCCCUCCCCCUCCGCCUUGUCUUCACGUCGCAUCCGCAGCAUGCGCUGCUGAUCUGCCGAGUUUGACGGCGGCAGCAGCCCGAGUGAUGAGAUCCACGUCUUGGGCGCGCGCAGAUCCAGCAUGGGCUCAUCCCCCGAUGUUGGCCUGGUCGGAGGAGAGAAACUGUGCGGUGGCCGGUCUAGGACAAUGGCUCGCAGGAGGCCGUAGUGUACCCUAGCCAUCGCUGGAUUCCGGUGUGGCUCCCGCCCCGUCUGUUGGCUUCCUCGACACCAUGGCCUCAUGAUGCUGCUUCGACCAUAGGUCAGGUUCAUUUUCCUAAGCUGGUAGUUGUAACAGCCGUUCGUGGGCAGUGUGGGAAGCCUAAGGCUGGUGCGUGGCCUCCCUCUUCAAUCGAUUACUUAAGCUUGGCUACUGCCUUCUCCAAAUCUUAGGGUGUUGUGUGUGCGUGCUGACAUGGUGGCGGCAGUGGCUAUCGAGGGCUAGGGUGUGUAUACGAGUGAGAUGUGUGUGCGUGCAGUAGAUGCCGAGUUGUGUUUGCGGGUUUCCUCUCUGGAUCUUUAACAUUGAAUUUUCUAUGUAUCUUUACACUGCAGGGUACCCAGUAAAGACAGAAGGCACAUGUUCGUCAACCGGCUGCACUGUGCUAUGUGGGCUUCUAUCAAGAUCAAAUUUUGUUUAAUUUUCUACCAAGAUCUAAUUCAGUUUAGAUUUUUCUGACAGUUUUAUGUAUCUCUCUUCUCUAAAUCAAUAUAAUUAAGUGGUCUAUAUGCAUUCAGUUUAGUUUUCUAUCAAAAUAUAAUUCAGUAUGAAUCAAUGUAAUCAAGUGGUGAAUAAUUUCAUCAAAUAGGAGACAUGAUUUCUGUUACUGUAUUAAUAUGGUGACAUGUUCUGUUUAGAGUUUUCUCCGUACACUUCUGUCCAUAUUGUCAACUGCAGCUUGGUGAAUAUAUAUAACCAGAAUUAAGUUUAAUCUGAAUCUAAGAAGAAAAAUACAUUGGUACAGUGUGGCAGUACUGCAGUUAUAUUACAGAGGUUUAAACCUGUUCGUUUGUGUACUAAGCAAAUGUAGUACUACUACCAUUGGUUGUGCGCCUACUAGUACUAGAACCAAUGCCAUGUUAGUUCACUCUCCCUCAACCUGGAGGUACACACCAAGCUAGAACUUGCCAACACAGUGACACACAUUUCUUUUUCAACUCAUGUGCUCCCUGCCUCCAAGCCAGGUUGCCCUCCACGAUAGUUUUGCCGAGAAGUAGGGGUUGAUGUCUACUGUCUGAUCCUAAAUCUUUUCCCUGAUGUUUUCCCUUUUUUACAAUCAAUUAACACUGUAAUCUCCCUAACUAUGAUCUCUGCUUUUUUGGGAUGUAGGUCUAGGUGGUGUUGUAGCAGUCGUACUGCUGCAUGGCGCACAAUAGAGCUCGAGAGGGUGGACAUGAUAACUAUUGGUGGAGCUGCUCCGUGAUCAACUAGGGGUUGGUUCUCUACUGCCACUCCUAUGAUUUGUCCAGUAUUUCCAUUCCCUACCUUAAUUGCUACUGAACUACACCUAUUUAGUUAAUGUAGUUCUGAGUUAGGCAUUUUUCACCAUGGUGUGAUUUUCUACUAAUUUACUAAUUUGUUUGUGCCCCUUGGAUCUUGUGAUGAACUUCUCAUGCACUUGAAUUAAAAGUAACCACAACAUGCAUGUUGUUAAGAGCAAUAACUGAUACAUCCUAUCUAGUAUCUCUUCAGAGAACCAUUUGCCACUUAGUUUUAUAGAUUUAUUAGUGGCCACGGCUCAUAGUUAUUUUGCAUGCCAUUUGAUGUUUACUUGUCAAGCAAUUGUGUUUUACUACUAUAGGUGCCUUAGAUAAACAUUUAGUUUCAUGUGUAUGCUUGUUGACACAUGAAAAAUUUGAAGCUUACGCUCGCGAGGUCGAUGAGUAACCGAUGAGUAGCGGCUCCGCUUCAUUGAUAUUAUUUGUUAGUGAUGCCAUUUUCUCGACGGGUUUAUAUGGCCUUAACUGUUGUUGAGUACUUGUGUUCUCCGAUGUAUGUUCUAUUACAUUGUCACUUAUAUGUCAACUUGAUUAGACUUUCAUUUGACCCACUUUUAUUUGAUUUAAUUUUAGGCAACCUCAUGUUUAGUUUUGUUUUAAAGUAUAUUUUGUUAUUCUGAUAUGCAGGCUUGUUAAAAUUUAAGAAUUUUGGACAACACAUAAUUUAUUUUUGAAGUUUGUUCUUAUUCUUUUAUUUCUACUAUCUACUAUCUAAUGUUGUAAAUAUGUUAGGUAUGAUUGGGUAGCAGGCUUCUUGGUGCUGGCCAACACAAUCUGCCAUGACAUGAUACUUACCAUCAGGAGGGGCGACGACAAGAACCUGAAUAGCAGCCUCAAUAGUAUCAUAUUUUCUGUUGUUGUAAUUGGAUUGUACUGGUUCCUAGCGUUGUUGUGUGAUAUAUUUUGUCAAUAUAUUCUGUAAAUUACCAUUUCAUGGAGGAUUUUGUAAACUGAUGUGGUGUAGAUACCAAUAGAUGGUUGCAUAUUGAAUAUCCGUGUAAUGUAUGAUCACACUUUGGAAAUGCUUCGUCUUGGCCUAGAGUUGGUAUUAUGAUUUUUGUAAUGCAUCAUGCUAAAAAAAUGUACUGGUUCAAAAUUGGUGCGGUAGAUGUUAUAAAGAGGUUCAAAAUUGGUUCAAAAUCGGCCUUCCGAGUGGUGUUAUAAAGAGGACGUCUUCCUUCCUGACCCUAUCCGAAUGGGUCUUCCUGAGUUUACAAAUGCCCCGUUGAAGAAACGCCAUAGUUGCCAUCCUUGGUGCCCCAAGGAGGAAGAUAGCAGAGAGGUCCUUCAAUUGAUGGGGAGGAUAAAAACGCUUGCCAAAUCUGGAUUGACAAUGAUCGAGGUUAUGCCAAUAUGCAUAAUGCGGGGGGUGCAGCCACUCCAGUAUCGGGGGCAUCCCAUGUGGCACUUCAACGGAGAAGACAAUGCCACCCGUUGUGGUCGGAAGUGUUCGGACUCCGCCACCGCUCUGGCGAAAAUACCGUCCGAUUUAUACAAAGGAGAAGAAGAGGAGUUCAUCCGCAUUAAGCCACGGGAUGGAUUUUCCAUGUACAAUCCCCCUAGCUGGGUGAGUUGCUAUCUCUUACUCAACUCUAUUCAUUCCCACAGUCUUUCAUCACAAAUAUUCACCUCGCUAGUCCAUAAUAGGAAAUGUGGAAAGCUAUGAAGGAGAUCCAAAGCCCGCCUCCACAGCUAGAGGACCACAAUCGGGCCCUCGACCCCGGGCUCGAAGAGGAUCCGAACAUAUUUGUGGAGCUUGGCGACAAGGUGUUUUACGAGGCGAGCUGUGACGGCACCUUGGUGGCCAUCAUUGCCGACUAUCCCGGCCUCCUCCCAGCGUCACGUGUAAGUGAACCGGAGACUAAUUUUCCGAAAAGGAUUCACUCUUUCCACCUUACCCACCGCACAUAUAUUAUGCUAUAAAGGGAAGGCCAUCGGCACGCCAUGCCGAACCCACGACGACCCACCAACAAGGGGCACCCAAGCCGGUAGGCUUCCAAAAAGGAAAGUGAGCAGAGACAUGGCCGAGCCGCCAUCGAAGAUGUACGGUUUAAAACAUGCUCCAUGAUUGUCAUCUUAAAAUAUAACAUUAUCCGCUGUGUCCUGGCAGAAAGAACAUUCGCUGGACUGUAUUCGGGGAUCCUGCCCGUCACACCUCUACCAGCCAGAUUUCAGAACCGGCCUCGAGGGUGGAGGCUAACGUGGGGAUGACACUGAACGGUCCAACUAUAGAGGAUUCAGAUAGAAUAUCUGCUACAAAUUCCAAGGUAGAGAGUGCUAUGAAUCAUCGGCAUCGGCGGGCCGCACUCCGCGACCCUAGUUUUUCUGAAGAGGCUUUCAAUGCCUUCAACUCGGGAGACGCGUACAUCCGAGCUGCUCAAGAUGGGCUUGCUAGAGCCACAAACCAGUAUUUAAAAGAUAUACGGGUAAGCAAAAUCUAAUAAUUAUGCAUAUCAGUAGCUCCUGAGACUUGGAACAGUUGGUACAACUGAUUUAAGGAUAAUUGUAUGAAUAGGUUCUUAUAGAGAAGAAUACCCAUUUGUCUCAAGAGCUGGAGAAGUGUCAAGCCCAGCUAAGGGUCGCAGCUACCGAAAUGGAGGAAUCCAAGAAGGCCUCGCUUGGUAAUAUUUCUCUCAAUCGAGAAAAAACAUAAUUACGUGUUCCAUUUGGUGUUCGGCACGUUGCAGAUCUAACAGUAGAUUCCGCAGACAAUCCCAGAGUGAAUCCGGAGAUCCUACAAGAGGAUGAACAAAGAGCUCAACGACAACUAGAGGCUGGCGAGCGUGUACUUACACGGGUCAGGCGGGAGAAAAACAAUCUCCAGGAUGCCAAUACCCGGCUGAGCGUAGAAUUUAAAGAUGUUCGAGCCCAGCUAGCUGACUCCGUGAAGGAGAAUAGAAGGUUUCACGCGGCAUUUUUAGUAUGUGCUCAAAUGAACCUUUAUAUAGUUCGGCGAAGAAACAAGCUAAUAGAGUUAUCUCUGUAGGUAUGCUGACUAGUCAUCCUGAAGAGGAUAUGCCCAGAUCCCUAGGCGAUCUUCUGCAAGAGCUUUCGCAACUGCACGAACAAGUUCGGCAGGUGAUGCAGGGUGUUGCCAAGGCCUUGUGGCCAUCCGCCUCCGUGCCAGGAAGCAUGGGGGAGCUUGUACAGCUGCUCAAGGGAGUGCGGCGGCGUUUCCGACUAUGGAAGAUAUCCGCGUGUUGAAAAGGUGCGACGGAAGCUUGGGCCAUGGUGAAAACACGGUAUACCAAGCUCGAUCCGAAUCACAUGGCCCGAGUUGGACUUGUAGGGUCAGAUGGGAAGGAGAUUCCUAUUAGUCUGGUAUAUGACCAGGUAGGAUUAGCCGCAAAGUAUUCCCAACGGGUUUGUAGGCUAGACAACCUAUUGGAUGGCAUAGAAGAAGAAGUAUGUGAGUCUAAGUGACUAUGUACUUCAAUUGACAUAUUUGUCCCUAACCGGAUUGUAAAUCAUUUGUCAUGGCGGACCUUUUCGCUUCAGCCUCCAGACCCGACAGUCCGGAGUGUUUUCGAAUACCCGCUCAUUUAUAUAAACCGGGGUACGCGUGUAAACCAGGUGUAGGGGUCAUAAUUGCUUGAAUAAACAAGUACCCAACUAGCUAUGUUAUAUUACAUGGAUAGUAAGAAACAUCUUCCAGAGAGAAUAGUCCCGUUAAGGGUUCCUUUCCCUGGGUACGCAUGCAUUAAUGUGCAUGUCCAAACUGCGAGCAAAGACGCAGUAUAUGCAACAUCUGGGGGUUUGUAUUGUAAUAGGUAAAAACAUCUUUAGUUCACCGACCAAAUAUUUUCUUAAGAACUCUAGCUUUCGGCUUCACCCAGUCUGAGGUUCACGCCCGGAGUACCCGGCAGUAACAAUCGCAGAGGUGCUCCCCUUAUGCCCUAGCCGAACUAACGGGAACAUAGGGCAUAAACACAGGAGCCAGGCAAACAAGCUUGGCCAAAACUUAAGUCAUAUUGAUGCAUAUAAUGGUGAAGAAAAGGUACAUAUGGGAAAGGAACACAUAUGCAGUGGGCGUCAUGCCCGGAAGAUAAUUAUAUUAAGCUACUGUAUAAGAAGCCCCCAGGUAUAAUGAGCACGCAUACUUGAGGAUUAGCGCAUCAAGAGUGUGUAGUCGAGUCACACUUAAAGCCUUAGAGACAUAAAAAGAAAGAGAGAGGAUAUAUAACUAAAAAAUAAAAAAAGGCGGAGGGAAUGAGACGAACAAAGAGUUCGGCGCUAGGCGUAGAAUCUUCAGAGUCUGGCCGCGUUCCAUGGGUUCGGCUCGAGUCAAUUAUCUGAUGCAUCACACAGGCGGUAUGCUCCUCCGGUGAGAACUUUAUCAAUGAUGAAGGGACCCUCCCACUUGGGCUUGAGCUUGUCCUUUUUCUUCUCCGGUAGGCGUAGAACGAGUUCGCCAGUGUUAUAAGUUUUGGCCCGUACUUCUCUGCUUUGAUACCUCCGAGCCUGUUGCUGAUAGAAUGCAGAACAUGCUUUUGCCACGUCGCGCUCCUCCUCCAGGGCAUCUAAACUGUCCUGCCAAUCAAGCUCGGCUUCUCUCUCUUCAUACAUGCACACUCGAGGUGAGUCAUGAAUAAUCUCGCAGGGCAAUACCGCCUCUGCGCCGUACACCAUGAAGAAGGGUGUGUAUCCGGUAGUGCGAUUUGGCGUGGUCCGCAACCCCCAUAGUACGGAGUCAAGCUCCUCGACCCAGUUCAUGUCUGAUUCCUUCAGAGAUCUCACUAGUCUGGGUUUGAUGCCGCUCAUAAUAAGACGGUUUGCUUGUUCGACUUGUCCGUUUUUUUGAGGGUGAUAGACAAAGGCGUAAUCGAGCUUAAUGCCCAUAUUGCCGCACCAAGUUUUCACCUCAUUGGCUAUGAAUUUGGAGCCAUUAUCAGUGAUGAUGCUGUGGGGGACACCAUAGCGGUGCACGACCCCUGAUAUGAAGUCUAUCACCAGUCCGGAUUCGGCCGUUUUAACUGGUUUGGCUUCUAUCCAUUUGGUGAAUUUAUCCACCAUGACCAACAUGUAUUUUUUCUUAUGGAUUCCUCCUUUAAGGGGUCUGACCAUAUCGAGCCCCCAGACUGCAAAGGGCCAGGUUAUGGGGAUUGUUUUGAGAGCGGUGGGCGGCAUGUGGCUUUGGUUGGCAAAGAGCUGGCAACCGACGCAAUGUGGGACGAGGUCCUAUGCGUCUGCUUGGGUUGUCGGCCAGUAGAAACCUGUAUGGAAGGCCUUGCUUACAAGGGCCCGAGCUGCGGCAUGGUGGCCGCCGAGUCCAGCAUGAAUUUCGGCCAAGAGCUGCCGCCCUUCCUCUUCGGAGAUACAUCUUUGCAGUACUCCGGUAGCGCUUUUCUUACAAAGCUCUCCCUCGUGGACCUUGUAGGCUUUAGAGCGCCGCAUAAUGCAACGUGCCUCGAGGGUUCUUGAUCCUUGGGGAGUUCUUGACUAUUUAGGUAGGCUAAGAAGGGUUCGGUCCAUGGGGCGAUGACAGCCAGGAUUAGAUGGGCCGAAGGUGUUAUUUCGGUGACAGAGCCUCCUAUUAUGUCAGUGUGUUCGGAAUCUGGGGUUGUGGUCGGAUCCGGACUAGUAUUGCCGGUCCCCCCUUGCCAAACCACGGAUGGCUUGAAAAGCCUUUCCAAGAAGAUGUUAGGUGGGACGGGGUCGCACUUAGCACCGAUGCGGGCAAGGAUAUCCGCCGCUUGAUAGUUUUCUUGAACCACAUGAUGAAAUUCAAGCCCCUCGAAUUGAGCUAACAUUUGGAGGACUACAUUAUGAUAAGCCGCCAUUUUCGGAUCCUUGGCGUCCAAGUCUCCAUUUAUUUGAGAUAUUGUGAGGUUCGAAUCCCCACGUACUUUUAGGCGUUGAAUGCCCAUGGAGACCACCAUCCGAAGACCAUGCAACAGAGCAUCGUAUUCGGCCGCAUUGUUGGAGUCUGUGUAUAGUAUUUGGAGUACGUAUUGGACUGUAUCUCCAGUGGGGGAUCUCAAGAAAACACCCGCUCCCAGACCAGCCAGCAUUUUGGAGCCGUCAAAGUGCAUGAUCCAAUUGGAAUAUGCGCCGUACUCUUUAGGGAGUUCAGCUUCUGUCCAUUAGGCGACGAAGUCAGCCAGUACUUGCAAUUUAAUGGCUCGCCGUGGUUUAUAUGUAAUGUCGAAUGGGAGGAGCUCGAUGGCCCACUUAGCAAUCCGGCCCGUGGCAUCGCGAUUAUUUAUUAUAUCAUUGAGUGGUACUUCGGAGGCCACCGUGAUUGAACACUCUUGAAAGUAGUGUCAUACUUUCCGGGAUGCCAUGAAGACCGCGUAUGCUAUCUUUUGAUAAUGUGGGUAUCGUGACUUGCAUGGUGUGAGGACAAUGGAUACAUAGUAUACCGGCUUUUGAAGCGGGAACUUAUGCCCGUUGUCACACCCUAGCUAGUUCAUGCACUAUAGUGUUGCAUCAUGUUUAUUCUUUCAUCAGAAACCUGAAAUGGGGAUGAGAGAACCCCCAGCCCCCUCUGAAACCAACUAGGGUUUACUAAAAACCUUUUUCAAUGAACCUGAAAUGCCCUUCUAAAAUGCCCAUCAUUUUUGUCUUGGUUCAGAACCUCUGCCAAAAGUGAUGCACAUUUUCCUAGGUCAUCUUAGGGUCUUUGAAUUAAAUCAUAGAUAUUUGAAUUUGGGCAUUUAAAAUUAUAUAAAAUAUUCAGAUGCUCAAAUAUCUCCAAACUAAAAUGUUUCAUGUUGGAAAUAAUCCAACUAUGGACCAGGAGUAGUUUGGUGAUUUUAGGAGUUGCCUAAGUAUUUUUAAUAAUUCAACAAAGUUGCAGAAGUAUUAAAAAACAGAAAACAGGAGAAAUAGCAAAAACUUACCUGGCGCCCAGCACCCGGCCCACCUGCCGGCCCAGCCCAGCGCCGCUCCAGCGAGCUGCUUGCCGGCCAGGCAGGCAGGCAGGUGCACGAUGGCGACCGCAGCGCGCGCCACGCAGCUGGUCGUCGCCCUGCUUCAUCUCCUCGCCUCGUGGCUGGAUGGAUGAACUCCACGCCGCGCCGUGAACCUCCAGGACACCUCCAUUAUCCCCCAACCCCUCUCUCUCGCGCUCCCCCGCCAUGGCCGACGCCAUCGGCGCCACCCCCUCGCCAUAGCCACACCCUCCGUCAACCCCACGCCGUGCCGCCGUGUCCAGGAGCUCCGCCACCCUCCUCUCCUUCGAGCAAGCCGAGCCCCGAGCGCUCGCAAGGCCCGAGCCCACCGCACCGACCUCGACCGAACCGCCGUCGCCGGAGAUCCCCUUCAACACCGUCGUCGCUCCGGCCCGUCCCCGGCCACACCAAGUGCUUCAUCGAACUCCCCGUGAGCUUAGCCAUCUUCCACUCCCUUCUUUUCUUGCUUCCGAGCCGCGUAGCGACCUCCCGGAGCUCAACCGCACCCACCGCCGCGGAGCUCGUCGCCGACGUGCUCCCGGUCACCCUCCGGCCACAAACUGGUGUCCAUCAUGCUCACCGUGUCACGUAGCACCUAACCAGCUACUCCCUGCACCUCACUGACCCCUCUAGCAUAAAGUUCGCCCUCGGCUGAACUCCGGUGGCUGCCAAAGUCGUCGCCGGCGCCAACUCCGGCCACCCCGACCCCAACGGACUCCACCAAGAGCUGCGGCUCCUCCUCAGCUCCACUCCGAUGGCCUCCGCGACUCGUUUGGUUGCCGGAACGGCAAAAACCACUUCCACCGCCGCGUCGGGCUCGCCGGCGGCUAAACGCCGGUGCAGCCGACCCAGUUUUGACCGCGGGUGGGCCCUGGUUGACUCUCCUGAGUCAAUGACAGGUGGGGCCCAGCCCUGUUAACUAUUUAGGAUUAGUUUAAAUUAAUGUUAGUUUAACUAAUCACAGUGACACGCGGGACCCACUGUCAGGUUUGACCCGGACCGUGUCCCGUUGACCCGCUGAUGUCACACUGACGUCAGGCUGACGCAGUAAUUGAUUUUCUGGAUUUUUUCUAAUAUAGGAAAUUCCAGAAUAUAGUUUAAACUUCAAAAAUUCAUAACUUUUAAUCUGUAACUCCAAAUCAGACAAGUUAUAUAUGAAAAAUGAUCAGAAAAAUCCAAUCUAUCCAUCUGUACUAUUUUCAUGCAUGAUUAAACAAGGUAACUUGAUGUUUAAUGCAGAACAAGGUAAAACACUUUAAAGAGCCAUGUAUGAGUUUGAAAUUUGAAUCUUUGGUUCAAAUUGGUUCAAACCCUUCUGGUCUUAGUUGCAUUAGCCCAACACACUUAUAUUGCCAUGUUUCAUGCAUGCAUCAUAUUGUCGCACAUUGUUUGGUGAUGGCUGUGUAUCGAUGUUCUUUGUGGCAGGUUCUGCCUCCGAGGAGUACCGUGAUUACCCUAGCGAAGAACCGUAUCAGUGCAUCGAACCAUCAGGCAAGCAACCAACCAUUUGAUCAUAUCGAUACAAUCCCAUGUUCUCAGUCCUGCUCUCUUUUACUGCAUUAAGACAACGCGUUUCAAACUGCUGUGUGUUACGGUAGUUGAACCCACUUCCUCUGCAUGACCUGUCAUUGCCACAGUAACUAGAUGAAACCCACUAGCAUGAGUAGGAGUUGAUUGAGCCAUAUGUAUGUGUUGUUCCUACCUUGCUAUGCCUGCUAUGCUUAGAGUCGAGUCAGGUCUGGUUCAUCUGGGUGAUGGGCUGGAGUGAAAUGAUUAUGUCGGUAAUGAGAGUGGUGUGGUGAACACGAUUUGGUAAAGGUAUCGAUGAGAGGCCAUGUAGGAGUACAUGGUGGGUUGUUUCAUUGAAGCCGACCUUAAGCACUGAGAUCUGUAUGUGUGAUUUAAGAAUCAGCUACUACCAUGCAUUGGGCCCGAAACCAAUGGACCCUCUCGGCUUCUAACUCACCCUAGUUCUCCGUCCAAGAGUUGCAAGUAGUUUCUGGUGUUUGUAGCCUACUGGAGGCCGUGGACAGCGCUGACCGUAGGGGUGGGCUGUGAUGCGGUAGGUACGUGGCCGGGAAUACCGGGCACCCGUUAGGUGUCACGGAACCCUGUACACAUCGUUCGGGGCCGUAUGGGAAACCUCGGCCGGACUCCCUGCGGAUGGAACCUGGAUAGGCGAUAAACCUGGAUUGGAGACUUAGGUGAUUAGGUAGGUCGUGGCCGACACCCACGUUGGGCUUCCGCUUGAAGGUUGCCGAGUACAUGUCGUGUAAAUGACGGUAAGUGGUGAGAGCGUGUAUGAAGAAGUACACCCCUGCAGGGUUAACCUAAUCUAUUCGAAUAGCCGCGUCCGCGGUAAAGGACUACUUGGUUGCCUAUAUAGUUCAUAGACAAGUAAAUGGAAACUACUAAAAUCCUCAAGAUAAGUCUGAGUGCCGAGGAUGGCUCUUCCGUAGGAAGACGGAGGUGAAUCCUCGGUGGUGUAUUGAAGUGGUGAGUAGUGGACUCGUGUGCGCAAAACCAUUUCAAGUUGGAGUCUCGUAGGAUAGCCUAGCCAAGAGUCAAAGCUGGCUUGCUGCAACAACUCCACCAACCCUUCUUGAUAAUGUGCAUGUAUGUAGGAUCUGAUGUAAGUCUUGCUGAGUACCUUUGUACUCAUGUUGCUAUAAUUUACAUUUUUACAGAAGACGCUGCAACCCCUUUUGAUGGGUUCUUCGUAGACGUUGACAUCAAUGAGUAGGCUAAGGCCCAGGUGCUGAUCCUGAGCUUGUGAAGGACCACGUAGUAUAGUUAGGCUUUCCAAGCCUCUUUUAUUUUACUAGUUGUCUGUACUCAGACAAGUUACUUCCGCUGCUGGUUUGUAUGACUGUAUGACUUGAAUGCUGGGUCGUGUGACCCGUACCUAUGUGUAUGUUAUGUAUGGCUCUCUGAGCCUUAAAUAAAGUACUUGUGUCGUAGAGUCAUGUUGUGAUGCCUUGUUGUAUUUGCACAUAUCGAGCAUAUUGUGUGUAUGAUUGAAAUGCUUGGUAUGUGUGGGAUCUGACUAUCUAGUUGUUUAUCUUUAGUAGCCUCUCUUACUGGGAAAUGUCUCCUAGUGUUUCCACCGAGCCAUGGUAGCUUGCUACUGCUCCAGAACACUUAGGCUGGCCGGCUUGUGUCCUUCUUCGUUCCUGUGUCUGUCCCUUCGGGGAAAUGUCACACAUUGAGUAUCGGAGUCCUGUUAGCCCGCUACAGCCCGGUUUACCGGAGUCCUGCUAGCCCAAUGCUACAGCCCGGACCCACUUGCUGAUGACUGACACGUUCGUUGCUAGGUCAUGGAUGCCUGUCCCUGUAAGUCUGUGCCACUUUGGGUUUACGACUAGCCAUGUCAGCCCGGGCUCCUUAUCAUAUGGAUGCUAGUGACACUAUCAUAUACGUGUGCCAAAAGGCGCAAACGGUCCCGGGCAAAGGUAAGACGACACCCGUGGGAAUACCGUGCGUGAGGCCGCAAAGUGAUAUGAGGUGUUACAUGCUAGACCUAUGUGGCAUCGAGUCGGGGUCCUGACAGCGUUGGUAUCAGAGCCGGACUGCCUAUACGUUCUCCAAGCCAAACUGGUCGAUGCUGAGUCUAGAAAUUCUUUAGUUAUAUGUAGGGGAAUUGUUUGUGGGUUGGAACGUAAGGCUCUUUUUACUCCUUUAUCUUAUGACAUUCUGAUCUGAGUCAGUCUAUCCUUCCACCGGGGGUUAAGGAAUUAGGAUCUUUUCUCUCUAUGAGGUUCACGUGUUACUAUUCAGUAGUACCUUAUAGGUUUGAUGGAUACAAGCCUAGUUCUGUUCUACUACCACAUUAUGUUGCUGGGAUGGACUCAGAACUUUGAUAUGAUGUUGUUGAGUGUGUAUGUAAUCCUUUGUCAAAUGUCUCAAAAUCCUUUUUGAGCAUUUACAGUUGUUAUGAUGUCGAAAUUUUGCUAGAAAUUCUAAUGCCUUUGCAUUAUGGUUAUGCUUUCAGAUGGCCACUCGCGACCUCAAUCAAGUGGUUCGCCUGACUCGAUGCCUAGAUGUACCCGGCCAUACUGCCAUGUUGGUCAGGGUAAUGACUGAGGCUGGAUACCGUUGGUAUCCUGAGUACACGGUCGAAGAGCAAUUUCGAGACUUUAAUCAAAGCCAGUAUCUCUGCACUGUCAGGAUAUUUCCAUCUUAUCCUGGAUCCACCGAGCCCCUUCACUGCUCCUAUGGACUCGGGGUUACUACUGAGAUGGCUGUGCAGGAUGCCGCCUACUCUAUGAUGACCAUCAUGCGAGUCAGGACUGGCCUAUUUCGGGACUCUGAUUUCCGGUAUAUGCCAGGAUCACUUCUGGGAGCACAAGGGUAUCUCCAGGCUAUCUAUGCUGACCCCACUCAGGAGGAUUCACGGACUCGCACCACUGCUGAGAUGCUCGAGGAUAAGGACCGUGAAAAUCGGGCCUUGAGGCUAGAGCUUUUCAAUACCCGUGCUGACCAUUGGGCCACGUUGACUCGGUUUGCACCGGCUGUGCAAGCUUGAUAUUCGGAUAUGCGCGAUCUCUAUCCUGUGAUAUCUGCUCUGCCAGACGUGAUGGGUUGGCGUGAUGUAGGAGGCAUCACCCCACCUCGCGGUCCCCGCAGGCCACCGUCUGUUGGUCCAAGACCUCAUCCUAGCCCCUAUGGUCCACAAGCUCCGCGAGAUCGUCUGUUCCCGGAUGAUCAUGUUGAGCUUCCAGGCUAUGGAGGUGACUUCUACGAGGACUACUACGGAUCGGUCUGAGUUAGUGGUAGUAUCACUAGUUCGUACUAGCUGUGUCGUCUAUCGUCCUGCGUGACUCGUGGGAUAUGACCUAGUUUGUACUGCUUUCCGAAGGUGUAGAAAAAUAAUGUAUAGGAGCUCAGAGUGCCUCCGAUGAGAUGUAAUAUUUUUUCACCGUAAUAGUACCUUGUUUGGUCUUGUACUAAACCUUGUAUGGUGUGUAUGAUGAUGGAAUAAAAGAAGCAGUUUCUGUAUCUACCAUGUCAUACAGAUGAUCAUCUUGCAUUCCGAGUUAUUCCUUACAUUCUGUAUCCUAUGUCGAAAUCUUAUCAUUCUGACUAAAUCAUUGUCUUGUUUACCUAGGAUGGUCAACACGCGCAAUAACCCUGCUCAAGAGCAGGCCGAAGGCAGUGAAGUCAGGAAUGCAAAUCUGCCUCAUCCUCCUUCCCUAGCCGAGGUUAUGCUGGAAGCCGAGAGAAACAAGCGGGAGACCAACCGUUUGUUGGAGCGUAUUGAACAGAACACAGCACACCAUUAGAGAAAUAACUUGGUGUCACUCAGUGAUUUCAUCAAGUUACAUCCACCCACGUUCCACCACUCCGUCGAGCAUCUCGACGCUGAUGACUGGCUUCGCGGUAUUUCUCACAAACUGCAUUCCGCGCUAGUAGCUGAGGCUGACAAGGUCACCUUUGCUGCAUAUCAUCUUGAAGGCCCCGCCAGUCUAUGGUGGGAGAAUUAUGGAGCUAUGCGCCCAGCGGGCCAUGUCACUACUUGGGCUGAAUUCAGCGAGGCUUUCCGUGAACAUCACAUUCCGAAGGGUCUCAUGGACCGUAAACGUGAGGAAUUUUGCAGUUUCACUCAAGGCCGACUCUCUGUGGAUGCCUACAGCAGGGAGUUCGGUAACCUCGGACGAUAUGCAACUGAGGAAGUUUCUACUGAUGCCAAGAAGCAAGCAAGGUUCCGUAAGGGACUUAGUCCUGAGCUUCGCCGCGACCUCCGUCUGCAUGAGUGCACAUCUUUUCAGAAGCUUGUUAACAAGGCCAUCAGUGCUGAGACUGGUCAGACUGAUUAUGACGAACACGCAAGCAUGGCCGUGACGUGGGUUCCUCAUCCGGUGCUGGUCCUCAGAAGCGCCGCGUGUGGGUGCCUAACACUGCCCUGCCACCCAGGUUCACACCGAGGCCAUCCUUCCAGGCGCCUCGCCCCGUCCAACAGUUCGCACCAGCCAAGCCCUAUGGUGGUCCAACCAACAGUGUUCCUCCACGUACCAGUUCCGUGACUUGUUUCAAGUGUGGGGAAUCAGGCCACUAUAUGCGCGAGUGCCCCCAAACCAACCCCAACCAAUCUGCUAAAGCUGUUGGCCGAGGCAAGCCGACAGGUAAAGUGUUCCACGCCAAGCCGGCCAUCGCUACACGUGGCCAUGUCAACUGUAUCUCUGCCGAAGAAGCUCAAGAGGAUCCCAACGUCGUUCUCGGUAUGCUCCUUGUUAAUUGCCACUCGGCAUCUGUUCUUUUCGAUACAGGAGCCUCUCAUUCUUUCAUAUCCGAAAAUUAUGCUCGUUUGCAUAACACCGCAUUCUGUGACAUGCCAUCCACUAUGGAAAUUUCUACUCCCGGUUCUAGAUGGCAAACCUCCAGGGUAAGUCAUGGAAAUGAAAUCCAAGUCGAUAGACUUGUUUUCCUUGCCUCUUUGAUAGCUCUUAAAUCCUCAGAUAUUAAUAUCAUCUUGGGUAUGGACUGGAUGUCAGCCCAUCAUGCCAAAAUUGAUUGCUUCUCUAGGACUGUUCAACUCACCCAUCCUUCGGGGAAGAUAGUCAAUGUCUUGACCCGAAUAGCCAAGCGACAGUUAUAUUCUCUUAACGCCAGCCCUUUGCCAGACCUUGAGGACGUUCCGGUAGUCCGUGACUUCCCGGAUGUCUUCCCAGAGGAAUUGCCAGGUGUUCCACCUGACAGGGAUGUGGAGUUCGUAAUAGACCUUAUUCCAGGAACCGUCCCGAUUGCUAGAAGACCCUAUAAGAUGGCACCACUAGAACUAGCCGAGCUUAAGAAACAACUCCAUGAGUCCUUGAAAAAGGGUUUCAUCCGACCCAGUUCAUCUCCGUGGGCUUGCCCCGUCCUCUUCGUCAAGAAGAAGGAUGGUACGGACCGGAUGGUUGUAGAUUAUCGACCUGUCAAUUUGGUCACAAUCAAGAACAAAUAUCCGCUCCCCAGGAUCAACGACCUGUAUGAUCAGCUCGCUGGAUCCUCAAUCUUCUCCAAAAUGGAUUUGAGGUUGGGCUACCAUCAAAUCAAAAUCAGGAACGGGGACAUUCCUAAAAUGGCCUUUGUUACUCGUUAUGGCCAAUACGAGUACACCGUCAUGUCCUUUGGUUUAACUAACGCUCCAGCCACCUUUUCUCGGUUGAUGAACUCAAUCUUCAUGGAGUAUUUGGAUAAAUUCGUCGUGGUCUACCUCGAUGAUAUACUCAUCUACUCCAAGAAUGAGGAAGAACAUGCCGAACAUCUAAGGCUAGUGUUGAAGAAACUUCGAGAGCAUCGCCUUUAUGCCAAAUUUUCUAAAUGUGAAUUUUGGUUGUCAGAAGUGACCUAUCUGGGUCAUGUAAUAUCUGGUAAAGGUAUUGCUGUUAACCCUGAGCGAGUUCAAGCCGUCCUUAAUUGGACUCCACCUGAAUCGGUCAAGCAAGUUCGGAGUUUUCUGGGCUUAGCGAGCUAUUGCCGUCGCUUUGUCGAAAAUUUCUCCAAAGUUGCAAAACCUCUAACCGAACUCCUCAAGAAAGAUAAAAAGUUCGAAUGGACUCCACAAUGUGAGCACAGCUUUCAGGAACUGAAAAGACGCCUGACUUCUGCUCCCGUGCUGGUACCGCCAGACUUCUCCAAGGACUUUGUUAUCUACUGCGACGCCUCGCGACAAGGACUAGGUUGCAUUCUCAUGCAAGAUCGACACGUAAUUGCUUACGCUUCACGGCAAUUACACCAACAUGAGGAGAAUUAUCCUACUCAUGAUCUAGAGCUUGCAGCUGUAGUUUAUGCACUUAAAACCUGGCGACAUUACCUUCUCGGUAAUCGUUGCGAAAUAUUCACUGAUCACCAAAGUCUGAAGUACAUCUUCACCCAACCGGAUUUGAAUCUCAGACAAAGACGUUGGGUUGAGUUGAUCACAGAUUUCGACUUAGGAAUAACUUACACCCCAGGGAAAGCCAACGUCAUGGCUGAUGCGCUAAGUCGUAAAUCUUGUUGUAACAACCUGAUGUUACAACAAAGUCAACCGCUUCUCCAUGAGGAAUUUCGGAAGCUUAACCUUCACAUUGUUCCUCAAGGUUUUCUUUCCACCUUGGUGGCGAAACCUACCCUUACGGAUCAGAUCAUCAAAGCACAGAAGGUAGAUCCGGGAAUUUCCCGCAUCAAGAGAAACAUCAAGAAAGGAGUUGCGAAUUGUUUCUCCAUUGAUGAUCAAGGGGUCGUAUACUUCGGGAAUCGACUAGUGGUUCCCAAGGUGCGAAACCUGAGGCGAUUGAUCCUUAAGGAAGCUCAUGAAUCUCCUCUCACAAUUCAUCCCGGUAGUACCAAGAUGUAUCAGGACCUACGCCAGAGGUUCUGGUGGACUAGGAUGAAGAGAGAAAUUGCUCAGUAUAUUGCUAAUUGCGACGUCUGCCAUCGUGUAAAAGCAGAGCAUCAACGGCCUGCUGGCACCCUUCAACCCCUAGCUAUUCCUGAAUGGAAAUGGGAUAAAAUUGGUAUGGAUUUCAUUACCGGUUUUCCCAGGACCAAGAGAGGGAAUAAUGCUAUCUUCGUCGUGGUCGAUCGUCUUUCCAAGGUAGCCCAUUUCUUACUUGUUCGUGAGAGUAUAACCGCUAGUCAGUUGGCAGACUUAUACAUCUCCCGAAUCAUGUCUCUCCAUGGUGUUCCUUUGGAAAUUAACUCGGAUCGAGGAAGUCUUUUCACCUCUCGAUUUUGGGAAAGUUUCCAAAAUGCUAUGGGAACCCGCCUUUCCUUUAGCACCGCUUUUCACCCUCAAUCAAGUGGUCAAGUAGAACGCGUCAACCAGAUUCUAGAAGACAUGCUUCGAGCCUCUGUUAUCUCAUUCGGAAUGGAGUGGGAGAAAUGCCUUCCAUUUGCCGAAUUUGCUUACAACAACAGCUAUCAAUCUAGCUUGGGUAAAGCCCCUUUUGAAGUUCUCUAUGGACGACGGUGUCGAACACCCCUUAACCGGUCAAAAACCGGGGAAAGACAAUUCUUUGGCCCGGAUAUGAUUCAGGAAGCAGAAGCGCAAGUUCGCAUCGUUCGUGAAAAGUUGAAAACAGCCCAAUCUCGUCAAAAGAGUCAAUAUGACCGAAAACAUAAGGCUAUGACUUUCGAGGUUAACGAGAAGGCUUACCUUCGGGUUACUCCUCUGAAGGGAACCCAUCGUUUCGGUAUCAAAGGCAAAUUGGCUCCCCGUUACAUUGGACCUUUUCGUAUUCUCGCUAAACGAGGAGAAGUUGCCUACCAGUUGGAACUACCGCCGCAUCUCUCCAGAGUCCAUGAUGUCUUCCACGUUUCUCAACUCAGGCGUUGCUUCUCGGAUCCUAUCCGUGGAGUGGACCACGAAACGCUUGAUCUCCAAGAUAAUCUCACGUAUCGAGAGUACCCCAUUCGUAUCCUCGAUCAGGCCGACCGUACCACUCGACGUCAUAAUAUCAAGUUUCUCAAAGUUCAAUGGUCGCACCAUUCUGAGGAUGAAGCAACUUGGGAAAGGGAGGAUCGUCUUCGACUCGAGUAUCCCGCCUUCUUUCCGGAGGAACCCAAAUCUCGGGACGAGAUUCUUUUGAGUGGGGGUGAGUUGUCACACCCUAGCUAGUUCAUGCAUUAGAGUGUUGCAUCAUGUUUAUUCUUUCAUCAGAAACCUGAAAUGGGGAUGACAGAACCCCCAGCCCCCUCUGAAACCAACUAGGGUUUACUAAAAACCUUUUUCAAUGAACCUGAAAUGCCCUUCUAAAAUGCCCAUCAUUUUUGUCUUGGUUCAGAACCUCUGCCAAAAGUGAUGCACAUUUUCCUAGGUCAUCUUAGGGUCUUUGAAUUAAAUCAUAGAUAUUUGAAUUUGGGCAUUUAAAAUUAUAUAAAAUAUUCAGAUGCUCAAAUAUCUCCAAACUAAAAUGUUUCAUGUUGGAAAUAAUCCAACUAUGGACCAGGAGUAGUUUGGUGAUUUUAGGAGUUGCCUAAGUAUUUUUAAUAAUUCAACAAAGUUGCAGAAGUAUUAAAAAAACAGAAAACAGGAGAAAUAGCAAAAACUUACCUGGCGCCCAGCACCCGGCCCACCUGCCGGCCCAGCCCAGCGCCGCUCCAGCGAGCUGCUUGCCGGCCAGGCAGGUGCCCGACGGCGACCGCAGCGCGCGCCACGCAGCUGGCCGUCGCCCUGCUUCACCUCCUCGCCUCGUGGCUGGAUGGAUGAACUCCACGCCGCGCCGUGAACCUCCAGGACACCUCCAUUCUCCCCCAACCCCUCUCUCUCGCGCUCCCCCGCCAUGGCCGACGCCAUCGCCGCCACCCCCUUGCCAUAGCCACACCCUCCGUCAACCCCACGCUGUGCCGCUGUGUCCAGGAGCUCCGCCACCCUCCUCUCCUUCGAGCAAGCCGAGCCCCGAGCGCUCGCAAGGCCUGAGCCCACCGCACCGACCUCGACCGAACCGCCGUCGCCGGAGAUCCCCUUCAACGCCGUCGUCGCUCCGGCCCGUCCCCGGCCGCACCAAGUGCUUCACCGAACUCCCCGUGAGCUUAGCCAUCUUCCCCUCCCUUCUUUUCUUGCUUCCGAGCCGUGUAGCGACCUCCCGGAGCUCAACCGCACCCACCACCGUGGAGCUCGUCGCCGACGUGCUCCCGGUCAUCCUCCGGCCACAAACUGGUGUCCAUCAUGCUCACCGUGUCACGUAGCACCUAACCAGCUACUCCCCGCACCUCACCGACCCCUCUAGCGUAAAGUUCGCCCUCGGCCGAACUCCGGUGGCCACCAAAGUCGUCGCUGGCGCCAACUCCGGCCACCCCGACCCCAACGGACUCCACCAAGAGCUGCGGCUCCUCCUCAGCUCCACUCCGAUGGCCUCCGCGACUCGUUUGGUUGCCGGAACGGCAAAAACCACUUCCGCCGCCGCGUCGGGCUCGCCGGCGGCUAAACGCCGGUGCAGCCGACCCGGUUUUGACCGCGGGUGGGCCCUGGUUGACUCUCCUGAGUCAAUGACAGGUGGGGCCCAGCCCUGUUAACUAUUUAGGAUUAGUUUAAAUUAAUUUUAGUUUAACUAAUCACACUGACACGCGGGACCCACUGUCAGGUUUGACCCGGACCGUGUCCCGUUGACCCGCUGAUGUCACACUGACGUCAGGCUGACGCAGUAAUUGAUUUUCUGGAUUUUUCUAAUAUAGGAAAUUCCAGAAUAUAGUUUAAACUUCAAAAAUUCAUAACUUUUAAUCUGUAACUCCAAAUCAGACAAGUUGUAUAUGAAAAAUGAUCAGAAAAAUCCAAUCUAUCCAUCUGUACUAUUUUCAUGCAUGAUUAAACAAGUUAACUUGAUGUUUAAUGCAGAACAAGGUAAAACACUUUAAAGGGCCAUGUAUGAGUUUGAAAUUUGAAUCUUUGGUUUAAAUUGGUUCAAACCCUUCUGGUCUUAGUUGCAUUAGCCCAACACACUCAUAUUGCCAUGUUUCAUGCAUGCAUCAUAUUGUCGCACAUUGUUUGGUGAUGGCUGUGUAUCGAUGUUCUUUGCGGCAGGUUCUGCCUCCAAGGAGUACCGUGAUUACCCUAGCGAAGAACCGUAUCAGUGCAUCGAACCAUCAGGCAAGCAACCAACCAUUUGAUCAUAUCGAUACAAUCGCAUGUUCUCGCUCCUGCUCUCUUUUACUGCAUUAAGACAACGCGUUUCAAACUGUUGUGUGUUACGGUAGUUGAACCCACUUCCUCUGCAUGACCUGUCAUUGCCACAGUAACUAGAUGAAACCCACUAGCAUGUGUAGGAGUUGAUUGAGCCAUAUGUAUGUGGUGUUCCUACCUUGCUAUGCCUGCUAUGCUUAGAGUCGAGUCAGGUCUGGUUCAUCUGGGUGAUGGGCUGGAGUGAAAUGAUUAUGUCGGUAAUGAGAGUGGUGUGGUGAAUACGAUUUGGUAAAGGUAUCGAUGAGAGGCCAUGUAGGAGUACAUGGUGGGUUGUUUCAUUGAAGCCGACCUUAAGCACUGAGAUCUGUAUGUGUGAUUUAAGAAUCAGCUACUACCAUGCAUUGGGCCCGAAACCAAUGGACCCUCUCGGCUUCUUACUCACCCUAGUUCUCCGUCCAGGAGUUGCAAGUAGUUUCUGGUGUUUGUAGCCUACUGGAGGCCGUGGACAGCGCUGACCGUAGGGGUGGGCUGUGAUGCGGUAGGUACGUGGCCGGGAAUACGGGGCACCCGUUAGGUGUCACGGAACCCUGUACACAUCGUUCGGGGCCGUAUGGGAAACCUCGGUCGGACUCCCUGCGGAUGGAACCUGGAUAGGAGAUAAACCUGGAUUGGAGACUUAGGUGAUUAGGUAGGUCGUGGCCGACACCCACGUUGGGCUUCCGCUUGAAGGUUGCCGAGUACAUGUCGUGUAAACGACGGUAAGUGGUGAGAGCGUGUAUGAAGAAGUACACCCCUGCAGGGUUAACCUAAUCUAUUCGAAUAGCCGCGUCCGCGGUAAAGGACUACUUGGUUGCCUAUACAGUUCAUAGACAAGUAAAUGGAAACUACUAAAAUCCUCAAGAUAAGUCUGAGUGCCGAGGAUGGCUCUUCCGUAGGAAGACGGAGGUGAAUCCUCGGUGGUGUAUUGAAGUGGUGAGUAGUGGACUCGUGUGCGCAAAACCAUUUCAAGUUGGAGUCUCGUAGGAUAGCCUAGCCAAGAGUCAAAGCUGGCUUGCUGCAACAACUCCACCAACCCUUCUUGAUAAUGUGCAUGUAUGUAGGAUCUGAUGUAAGUCUUGCUGAGUACCUUUGUACUCAUGUUGCUGUAAUUUACAUUUUUACAGAAGACGCUGCAACCCCUUCUGAUGGGUUCUUCGUAGACGUUGACAUCAAUGAGUAGGCUAAGGCCCAGGUGGUGAUCCUGAGCUUGUGAAGGACCACGUACUAUAGUUAGGCUUUCCAAGCCUCUUUUAUUUUACUAGUUGUCUGUACUCAGACAAGUUACUUCCGCUGCUGGUUUGUAUGACUGUAUGACUUGAAUGCUGGGUCGUGUGACCCGUACCUAUGUGUAUGUUAUGUAUGGCUCUCUGAGCCUUAAAUAAAGUACUUGUGUCGUAGAGUCAUGUUGUGAUGCCUUGUUGUAUUUGCACAUAUCGAGCAUAUUGUGUGUAUGAUUGAAAUGCUUGGUAUGUGUGGGAUCUGACUAUCUAGUUGUUUAUCUUUAGUAGCCUCUCUUACCGGGAAAUGUCUCCUAGUGUUUCCACGGAGCCAUGGUAGCUUGCUACUGCUCCGGAACACUUAGGCUGGCCGGCAUGUGUCCUUCUUCGUUCCUGUGUCUGUCCCUUCGGGGAAAUGUCACGCAUUGAGUACCGGAGUCCUGUUAGCCCGCUACAGCCCGGUUUACCGGAGUCCUGCUAGCCCAGUGCUACAGCCCGGACCCACUUGCUGAUGACCGACACGUUCGUUGCUGGGUCAUGGAUGCCUGUCCCUGUAAGUCUGUGCCACAUUGGGUUUACGACUAGCCAUGUCAGCCCGGGCUCCAUAUCAUAUGGAUGCUAGCGACACUAUCAUAUACAUGUGCCAAAAGGCGCAAACGGUCCCGGGCAAAGGUAAGACGACACCUGUGGGAAUACCGUGUGUGAGGCCGCAAAGUGAUAUGAGGUGUUACAUGCUAGACCUAUGUGGCAUCGAGUCGGGGUCCUGACACCCGUCCUCCUCUGGUUCGACGACGAGCACUGCGCUUACAACCUGGUGUGUUGCAGCUAUAUACAACAACAUGGGUUCGCCAAGGUUUGGUGUAGCCAGGAUUGGGUUGCUGGCCAGGAGGGCCUUUAUUUCUUCCAGUCCGGCCGUCGCCGCAUCCGUCCACUCGAAGUGUUCGGUGCAUCGAAGAAGGCGAUAAAGAGGUAGUGCCUUUUCUCCCAAUCGGGAGAUAAAGUGUCUUAAGGCAGCCAAGCAUCCAGUUAAUUUCUGUAUUUGUUUGAGGUCUGUUGGGGUAGCCAACUGUGACAAAGCUCGGAUUCUAGCUGGGUUUGCUGCAAUUCCUCUGUUGGAAAUGAUGAAGCCCAGCAGCUUUCCGACGGGAACCCCGAAAACACAUUUUCCCGGAUUGAGCUUGAUGUCAUAUGUUCGGAGGUUGUUGAACGUGAGCCUCAGGUCGUCUAUUAAAGAUUCAACGUGUCUGGUCUUGAUGACCACGUCGUCCACGUAUGCCUCAAAUGUUUUGCCGAUUUGUUUUUCCAGGCAUGUCUGAAUCAUGCGUUAGUAAGUUGCACCGGCGUUUUUGAGCCCGAAAGGCAUGGUGUUAAACAGAAAGGGCCGUAUGGGGUGAUAAAUUCCGUUGCGGCUUGAUCGGACUCCGCCAUCUUGAUUUGAUGGUAUCCGGAGUAUGCGUCAAGGAAGCACAAUGAGUCGUGUCCUGCAGUAGCAUCGAUGAUUUGAUUGAUGUGGGGGAGGGGGAAGGGAUCCUUGGGGCUAGCCUUAUUGAGGUCCUUGAAAUCGACACAUAGGCGCCAGGAUUUAUCCUUCUUUGGUACCAUCAUCAGGUUUGCUAGCCAGUCCGGGUGUUUUAUUUCUCUGAUGAAUCCGGCCUCGAGUAACUUGGCUAGCUUCUCUCCCAUAGCUUGUCAUUUAGGCUUUGAAAAGCGCCGUAGUGUCUGCUUGACCGGCUUGUAUCCCUUCAAUAUGUUGAGACUAUGCUCGACCAGCCUUCGUGGGAUCCCUGGCAUAUCUGAAGGGUGCCAUGCGAAGAUGUCCCAAUUCUCGGGUAAGAACGCCCGUAGUGCAGCGUCGAUUGUGGGGUUCAGCUGUGCCCAAUGGAUGUUGUUUUUGUAUGGUCCAUUGGGUGGACUUGGAAUUUGACUAUUUCGUCCGCUGGUUUGAAAUAGGUGGACUUGGAUCGCUUAUCGAGUAUCACAUCAUCCCUAUCCACUAUGGAGCGUAAUGCAGUUAAUUCUUCGGCCGCCAGGGCUUUGGAUAAUGCCUCAAGGGCCAGGGCAGCGAUUUUAUUUUCGGCGUGGAGUGCUAUGUCUGGAUCACUGGCUAGAGUGAUGAUCCCGUUGGGCCCGGGCAUCUUGAGCUUCAUGUACCCGUAAUGGGGUAUAGCUUGGAAGCUCGUGAAUGCGUCCUGCCCUAAAAGGGCGUGGUAUCCACUACUGAACAGGGCCACUUGGAAUGUUAUCUCUUCAGACCUGUAAUUUUCCGGCAUGUCGAAUACCACAUCGAGUGUGAUUUUUCCCGCACAUCGUGCCUCCCGACUAGGGAUAAUUCCUCGGAAGGUCAUGCUGCUUUGCUCAAUGCGGCUCUUGUCUAUUUCCAUUUUGUUGAGAGUUUCCUCAUAGAUGAGGUUUAAUCCAUUGCCGCCGUCCAUUAGAACUUCAGUAAGCCGGAAGCCGUCCAAAAUUGGACUAAGGACCAAAGCGGCUAGUGCUCGGACUGUUCAGAAUUGAGGUUCGUCACUGGCAUUAAAGGUUAUAGCCGUGUUGUUCCAGGGACUUAUUGCUGCGACGUGGCAGACUUCGGCGAGGCCACAGAGUGCUCUCUUGCGCCAGUUAUUCGAGGCGAAAGUCUCGAAGACUGUCAACAUUGUAUUGUUGUUUUCUGCGGGAUGAUGCUCUGCGGUAUUGUUAAUGAGGAGAUCCUCGCCGUUCUUGGCCACCUGCCGAAGUAUCCAACAUGCUCUAAGGCUGUGUGUUGGUACAGUAUCCGGUGUGGUGUGAAUUUUGCAUGGCCUUUGGAGCCAUCCCUCCAAUACGGUUCCACGCCCUGUAGUGGGCUUCGGUUUCUUUAUGAUUGGAUCGGGUGACUUGCAAGAGUGCACCCUUUUGGUUCGGAUGAGGGGUUUAGUGAGAGCCAGAGGAUCCCAGAAUGAUGCCUGGGUUUUCCAGGCACUUUCCAUCGCACAAUACUUCUGUAUUAUGGUCGCCAAAUCAGCAAAGUGUGAUAUGUCACGGAGACUUAUGGCAUUACGGAUGCCCUUGUCCGUGCAAUUUUUGCAAAAGAAUGAGAUUGCGUCUUCCUCGCGACAGUCCUUAACCUUGCUCAUUGCAAGGAGGAAUCUGGCCCAAAAGUGAUGUACUGUCUCUUGGGAUUGUUGUCUAAUGUGGGAAAGAAAGCUUGUAUCUGGGUGGGUGGGUGGAUUUAAGUCCGAACCCUGACCCAAUCCGGGACCCAGAGGCUGAGGAGCUUCCGAACUUGGAAGUUCGGGUUCCGGGAUGUUACCCAAUUUUUUUGGCCCACUAUCCGAUCCUAAAUUCAUAGUUUGGGUCAUGUCAUCCUGCGAGCAGGUAUCCGGCUCAGAGAGCUCGGGAAUCCGGACAUAGUUCAUCCUCAAGAUAGAGGAAGAGUUGCUGAAUUGCUCCUCCACCACCGCUAUUUGAUGGGUGAUUGGCAGAGAGUUAAUCUCUCUUUGAUCGGGUUUAAGCCCAAUCCGAUCAUAGUACGUAGUGACUCCCAAAGCAGCGAUGCGAUCCAAGAGCUCGUUCAAGGACGAAAGUUCCAUUGGAUCCAUCCGCUUGGCGUAUUUCGAGCUGACGUGGAGGCUGUUUUUGAUGACCCGAGAAGUCAUCAUCGGCACGGCGGCCGACCGGGAGGUCAUGAGAAGCCGCCUAGUCGGAGGGUUUGGCCUAAGGCCAAGGCUCCCUCAGAGGCGAUGUUGUCCUUGAUAACAAGGCGAGCCAUGAAACCUUUUUUCAACGUCACAGUGGAACUCUCAAUGAAAGCACCAAUGUCGGUGUCAAAACUGGCGGAUCUCGAGUAGGGGGUCCUGAACUGUGCGUCUAAGGCUAAUGGUAACAUGAGGCAGGGGACACGAUGUUUACCCAGGUUUGGGCCCUCUCUAUGGACGUAAUACCCUACUUCCUGCUUGAUUGAUCUUGAUGAUAUGAGUACUACAAUAGUUGAUCUAUCACGAGAUCGUAGAGGCUAAACCCUAGAAGCUAGCCUAUGAUUAUGAUUGCUCUUGUCCUACGGACUAAACCCUCCGGUUUAUAUAGACACCGGAGGGGGCUAGGGUUAUACAGAGUCGGUUACGGAGAAGGGAAUCUACAUAUCCGAAUUGCCAAGCUUGCCUUCCAUGCAAAGGAGAGUCCUGAUACCUAUCCAUCGUAUCUAUAAUUGUUGAUUGUUCCAUGCCAAUAUUCUUCAACUUUCAUAUACGCCCAGUGCCAGUUCCUGUUUGUUGCAUGUUUUAUGUUUCGCAGAAAACCCAUAUCAAACGGAGUCCAAAUGGGAUAAAAACGGACGGAGAAUUAUUUUGGAAUAUUUAUGAUUUUUGGGAAGUUAAAUCAACACGACACGGUGCCCGAGGGGGCCAGGAGAUAGGGGGUGCGCCCCAGGAAGGCAGGCGUGCCCUAGACUCUCCUGCCCCCCCCCCCGUAAGGCGGUUGACGCUCUUCUUUUGCCGCAAGAAAGCUAAUUUUAUGAGAAAGAUUUGGGCGAAAGAUUCACCCCAAUUGGAGUUACUAAUCUCCGGAUAUAAAAGAAAUGGUGAAGGGGCAGAAUCUGAGAACACAGAAACAGAGAGAGACAGAGAGACAGAUCCAAUCUUGGAGGGGCUCUCGCCCCUCCCACGCCACGGGAGCCAAGGAAUAGAGGGGAAACCCUUCUCCCAUCUAGGGAGAAGGUCAAGGAAGAAGAAGAAGAAGGGGGGCCCUCUCCCCCUUGCUUCCGGUGGCGCCAGAACUCCGCCAGGGCCAUCAUCAUCACCGCGAUCUUCACCAACAACUUCACCACCUUCAUCACCAACUCUUCCACCCUCUAUGCAGCGGUGUAACCCCUCUCUUACCCGCUGUAAUCUCUACUUAAACAUGGUGCUCAACGCUAUAUAUUAUUUCCCAAUGAUGUAUGGCUAUCUUAUGAUGUUUGAGUAGAUCUGUUUUGUCCUAUGGGUUAAUUGAUGAUCGUGAUUGGUUUGAGUUGCAUGUUUUAUUAUUGGUGCUGUCCUAUGCUGCUCUCCGUGUCGCGCAAGCAUGAGGAAUCCCCGUUGUAGGGUUUGCAAUAUGUUCAUGAUUUGCUUAUGGUGGGUGUAACGCUCCGGAUCCGAUGUGCCAGGUGUCCUCCAGUUAUUCAUUGUUGUUGCCAUGUCAUUUGCUUGCGUGUUGCAUUUUACCAUGUCAUCAUCUGCAUUUCAUCUGCAUGUUUUUCAAAACUUGCAUCCGUUCAGGUUCCCCUGGUUCUCUCCGUUAUCCGUUCUGAGCCCAACCACACUCGCACGCGCCCGCGGCACCUCCGAAAUAUUAUUUUAUAAGUGGCAUAAAAAUGUUCUCGGAAUGGGGUGAAAUUUGGCGCGCGGUCUUAUUAUAGUGUAGGUAGACCGCCUGUCAAGUUUCGUCGCAGUCGGAGUCCAUUCGAUAGCCCAACCGUUAAACAUAUAGCCGCGUAUAGUCGGUUUAAUCGUCGGACGUUUUCGGUAUCCGAAAACCAUGCCGGGCCGCACUUCAUCCCUUUCUUCUCAGCCCAAGGCAUUCUACACAGCCCACCUAGGUCCAACAUACCCCCCUCGCGUCUGGAGCCGUUGGAUCGCGAUUCGAGGGUCCCAAAACCCCCCUAGACCCCAAACCCUAGCAAAUCUGCUAUAUAAGGACACCCUAGUCCAUUUUUGGGCAACCUAGACCCCUCCCCUAACCUCCUGCCGCAGACUCCACCCGCCUCCUCGCUUUCGGCGCCACCCCAGUCACCCCUCGCCACUUGGUGCCGCCGCCACCGCGCCCCGGACCAACCACGACGUGCCACGUCGCCACCCCCGUGCCCCACAGCCACUCAGCCGCCUUCCCUCGCCCCUCCAGCGUGCCAGGCCCGCUAGGCCCAGAUCGGGGCCCGGGGAAGCCCAUCCGCCGCGCCCCGCUCUCCCGCAAGCUCGAGGUCCUCCCAAGCUCAGGUCCCGCACUGCAGCGCCUCGCCGCCCCGCUGUCGGGUCGCCGGAGGCCAACCACGGCGACCUCGCCGGACUGCUCCGCCGCCACCGGUCNNNNNNNNNNNNNNNNNNNNNNNNNNNNNNNNNNNNNNNNNNNNNNNNNNNNNNNNNNNNNNNNNNNNNNNNNNNNNNNNNNNNNNNNNNNNNNNNNNNNNNNNNNNNNNNNNNNNNNNNNNNNNNNNNNNNNNNNNNNNNNNNNNNNNNNNNNNNNNNNNNNNNNNNNNNNNNNNNNNNNNNNNNNNNNNNNNNNNNNNNNNNNNNNNNNNNNNNNNNNNNNNNNNNNNNNNNNNNNNNNNNNNNNNNNNNNNNNNNNNNNNNNNNNNNNNNNNNNNNNNNNNNNNNNNNNNNNNNNNNNNNNNNNNNNNNNNNNNNNNNNNNNNNNNNNNNNNNNNNNNNNNNNNNNNNNNNNNNNNNNNNNNNNNNNNNNNNNNNNNNNNNNNNNNNNNNNNNNNNNNNNNNNNNNNNNNNNNNNNNNNNNNNNNNNNNNNNNNNNNNNNNNNNNNNNNNNNNNNNNNNNNNNNNNNNNNNNNNNNNNNNNNNNNNNNNNNNNNNNNNNNNNNNNNNNNNNNNNNNNNNNNNNNNCCGUCGAGCCGGCCCAGCUCCUGUUGGCCCAGGGAGAGCAGCCCACUAAACCCGCCCGUGCGAUUUUUAGUAUUUAGCGCGCGUCUAUUUUUUCGGAAUAUGGCCAAGUCCCCAGAUCAUCAUAUUAUGUGAGUAUCUUUAACCUGCCAUAACUCCAUGCAUAGUUCUCCGUUUUGCGUGCAUGAUAUAGCAAAAUGUUCAUCAUGAGAUGCUCUUCAUUUUGUUCCACUGAGCCAUGCUUUUUUGAGUUCAUCUUCAUGUUCUAAUCAUCAUUGCAAGAGUGCUAUAUGAUGUUAACUGGUGUCUGUUAACAGAACUUGAUGAUUUGUCUUUUUCAUUGCAUUUUGUGUGUGCAUCCUAUGAGCAUGAGAUCUACAUGUGUUUUGUACUACAUCAUACCAUCCUUACAGUGGUGCAAUCUAUGUAUUUUUGUGAGUCUUGUAGUGAGUGCAUCAAGCUCGUGAAGUAGGGUACUUGUUGUUGCUGUUUUGCUAGGCUGAAUCUGUUAUAUCAUGAUGCUAUGUAAACCUGCUGCUACAAGUCAUUCUAUGCAUAACCUGGAGAUGUUCACUAAGUAUGUUUUGUUAUAAAUGUCAUGAUAUAUCCAUCCAUGUCCCUGGUUGCAUUUAUAGACUACUGUAGCUUGUUGUAAUCUUGCUCUCAAACUGCUAAAUAAUGUUGCUGUCAGCCUGUUAAGAUUAAGUUCAGUUUUUCCAUGAGCUUUGCUAGUGAUCCACGUACCCUAUGAACUUGAUCUUGCCAUUAUUAGCUUCAUAAAUGUGUCUUAUUACUGUGUAUUGCUCUGUGGUGAGUUGUGCGAUCUCACCAACAUGCCUGCUUAUCGUUGUUCCUGUCAUGUCUGAAUCUGUCGUAUCAAUUGCCAUGUUUGCAUGGAUGCUACCAUCUUUUUUGUUGAUCUUUGAAAUUAGGUCAGUAAGGGACUUUUGUUCUAUGAAAUUAGUAGGUUCAUGCCAUGCCUUUGGUUGCCAUGAUAUGUUCCUGUAGCAUGUUGUUUGAUAGCUCUAAACUUGGCAACUUGAUGUUAUUUAUGCCAUGUCCAGUGAUUUCCAUUGUCUGUGAACUGUUAUUAUUUGCAACCUUGCCAUGUCCAUUUGAGCAUGUUCUAUUGAUUUCUGGAGAUAUCUCAGUGUUCAUGUUUUGUCGUGCUUUACCUAUACUUCAUGACCAUGCCUUUUGUUCUUAUGUUGAGGUGCUAUAGCAUUAUUGUUUUGGUGCUUGCAAUAUGCCUAGUUGCUGUUUUGGACAGCAUGCCCUUUAACCUUGUAUGAUGUGUAUGUGUUGAACCGUUGCUCCGUUUUGAGUGUGCUCUAUAUGAAACUUGCUUAGAUUUGCAUUUAGUUUCAUCUUAUCAUGUUGCAUCCUUGUUUUGAGGUGUUUGCUUGAUGUUUGGAUGCAUUUAGCAUCAAUGCCAUGUUUAACUUGUUUUGCUCAUAUCUUCUAGGCCGUAGCUUCGAAUUAAAUGAACUUUAUAUGUAACUUGACUAGAAUCUUGUGUAGAUCAUCUUGGUGCAUCUUAACUUGCUGUUUAACAACUUGAACAUAAGGUUUAUUCAGAUCUGGACCAAUUUCGAAAUUUGCAUAUGAGGACUUACCGGAUUUGUUAUAUGUUGUUUCCGGCCUCAUUUAAACUUGCUUUGAUGUGUUGCCCUUGUAUGCAUCAUCUCUUUCCAUGAGUAGCUUCAUGUAGCCUUAUCAUGCAUCAUACUUGGUUGUGCGUCAUGGCAUGUCUAUGUGUUGUGUGUUUACCUUGUUGUUUGCUUCUUUCCGGUUGUGCUCCUUCUCGUUAGUUCCUGUUUCGUUGCGAUCGUGAGGAUUCGUUCGUCUACGCUUGGUUCGUCUUCGUGGCUUCAUCUUCUUCAUGGACUCAUUCUUCUUCCUUGUGGGAUUUCAGGCAAGAUGACCGCUACCUUGGAUCUCACUGCUAUCAUUGCUAUGCUAGUUGUCUCGAUGCUAUCGCUAUGCUGCGCUACCUAUCUUUUGCUCUUCAAGCCUCCCAAAUUGCCAUGUCAGCCUCUAACCUUUUUCACCUUUCCUAGCAAACCAUUGUUUGGCUAUCUUACCACUUUGCUCAGCCCCCUCUUAUACCGUUGUUAGUUGCAGGUGAUGUUGAAGAUUGCUCCAUGGUGGACAGGAUUAUGUUGGGAUAUCACAAUAUCUCUUAUUUAAUUAAUGCAUCUAUAUACUUGGUAAAGGGUGGAAGACUCGGCCUUAUGCCUGGUGUUUUGUUCCACUCUUGCUUCCCUAGUUUUCGUCAUACCGGUGUUAUGUUUCUUGAUUUUGCAUUCCUUACGCAGUUGGGUGAUUUAUGGGACCCCCUUGACAGUUCUCUUUGAAUAAAACUCCUUCAGCAAGGCCCAACCUUGGUUUUACCAUUUGCCUCACCACCACCUAUACCCUUCCCUUGGGUCGGCCAACCCGAGGGUCAUCUUUAUUUUAGCCCCCCACGGGCUAGUGCUUCUCUAAGUGCUGGUUCAAACCGAGCUGCCUGCGGGGCAACCUCGGGGAAACUUGAGGGCUGGUUUUACUUGUAGCAAGUCUCAUCCGAUGUUGCCCUAAGAACGAGAUAUGUGCAUCUCCUAUCUGGAUUGUCGGCACAUCGGGCGGCUUUGCUGGUCUUGUUUUACCAUUGUCGAAAUGUCUUGUAAACCGGGAUUCCGAGACUGAUCGGGUCUUCCUGGGAGAAGGAAUAUCCUUCGUUGACCGCAAGAGCUUGUGAUGGGCUAAGUUGGAACACCCCUGCAGGGUAUAAACUUUUGAGAGCCGUGCCCGCGGUUAUGUGGCAGAUGGGAAUUUGUUAAUGUCCGGCUGUAGAGAACUUGACACCAGAUUCGAAUUAAAACGCAUCAACCGCGUGUGUAGCCGUGAUGGUCUCUUUUCGGCCGAGUCCGGGAAGUGAACACGGUUUUGGGUUAUGUUUGACGUAAGUAGGAGUUCAAGAUCAGCUCUUGAUCAUUGCUAGCUUCACGACCAUUCCGUUUUCUUCUCUUCUCGCUCUCAUAUGCAUAUGUUAGCCACCAUAUAUGCUUAGUCGCUGCUGCAACCUCACCACUUUACCCCUUCCUUUCCCAUUAAGCUUUGCUAGUCUUGAUACCCAUGGUAAUGGGAUUGUUGAGUCCUCGUGGCUCACAGAUUACUACAACAACAGUUGCAGGUACAGGUUAUGCGAUGAUAAUGACGCGAGAGCGAUGUUUGCUUGUUUUGGAGUUCUUCUUCUGCUUCUUCUUUGAUCAGGGGAUAGGUUCCAGGUCGGCAGCCUGGGCUAGCAGGGUGGAUGUCGUUUGAGUUUCUGUUUGUGUUUCAUCCGUAGUCGGAUGGUGCUCUUAUGUAAGAUGAUGUUGUAUUCGUGUGGCAUUGUAUGCCUUUUGUAUGUAUCCCCAUCUAUUAUGUAAUGUUGAUGUAAUGAUAUCCACCUUGCAAAAGCGUAUCAAUAUGCGGUUCUAUCCUUGGUGGGAUUGUAUCAAUAUGCAAGUCUCCUUAGGAUAGUAUCACAUAUUGGGUGUGACAGUGGGUGGCAUGAGUGAACAGAAGCAUAGACCCGAGUAAGUAGGUUGUUUGCGUAUGGGAUAAAGGGGACUUUAUGCUUUAAUGCUAUGGUUGGGUUUUACCUUAAUGAAUCUUUAGUAGUUGUGGAUGCUUGCUAGAGUUCCAAUCAUAAGUGCAUCUGAUCCAAGAAGAGAAAGUAUGUUAGCUUAUGCCUCUCCCUCAAAUAGAAUUGCAAUAGUGAUUACCGGUCUAAGUUAUCGAUUGCCUAGGGACAAAUAACUUUCUUGUAACAAAAAAUUUCUCUACUAAUACUUACUUUAUUGCAUCUUUAUCUAAACAGCCCCUAGUUUAUAUUUACGUGUUCUUUAUUAUCUUGCAAACCUAUCCUAUCACACCUACAAAGUACUUCUAGUUUCAUACUUGUUCUAGGUAAAGCGAACGUCAAGCGUGUGUAGAGUCGUAUCAGUGGCCGAUAGGACUUGAGAGAGUAUUUGUUCUACCUUUAGCUCCUCGUUGGAUUCGACACUCUUACUUAUCGAAAGAGGCUACAACUAUCACGUAUACUUGCGGGUCAUCAAGACCUUUUUCUGGCACCGUUGCCGGGGAGUCAUAGCGUGGGGUGAAUAUUCUCGUGUGUUCUUGUUUGGUUUAUCACUAAGUAAGUUUUAUUUGCUGUUCUUAGUUGUUUUCUAUCUCUAGUUAUGGGUAGGAAACAAAAAAUACCAAAAAAAUUAGUUGUACCUACUGAACCAAUGGUUGAAGAACCACUCAAAAUCUAUCACACUCCUGAAGCUUUUUACUUGGAUCAUCUUUGAUCCCUUUGUGCUCGUGCUGAAACCCCAACUAGCUUAGUUGAGGGCAAAUCUUUAGAUGAGCAUGCUUGUUAUGUGCGACACCGUAUAUCUGAAAAAGGGAAACUUUUACCGAAUCAAAUUCAUCGUUUGCAAUGCUAUGCUUGGAAUUUAUGUGAAAUACAUGAUAUUACUUGUUGUUCUGAAAACCCUAAGAAAUACCUUCCCUACCAAUGUGAGUUUAUUGAUAAUGGAAUCGUAUCUUCAUAUGCUAAGAGUGUUUGUAAUCACUAUGAUGUUCAACAAAUUGAAGAAUUUGUUGCUUUUAAGGGUGCUUAUGAAAUUGCUUCUUUGAUUGAAAAGUAUGAUGCUACUCUCUACAAAUCUGAAAAUUUUGCUAUACUUGAAUAUUGUUAUGAUAAUUAUGCUUCUAAUGCCUAUGUUAAACUAUAUAUUGAGAAAUUCUCCGCUGUCCAAGAAUAGAUUAAUAUUUUGCAGGAAGCUAUAGAAGAAGAAAUUGAUGAAACUGUGAGCUCAUUGGAUGAAAAAGAUGAUGAGGAGAGCGAAGAACAAAAGGAGGAAGGGCGGAUUGAUCACCCGUGCCCACCUUCUAAUGAGAGUAACUCUUCAACUCAUACAUUGUUUAAUUCCCCUUCGUGCUUACCGAAGGAUGAUUGCUAUGAUCCCGUUGAUUCUCUUGAAAUAUCCCUUUUUGUUGAUGCUUGCUAUGCUUGUGGCCAAGAUGCCAAUAUGAAUUAUGCUUAUGGAGAUGAACUUGCUAUAGUUCCUUAUGUUAAACAUGAAAUUGUUGCUAUUGCACCCACGCAUGAUAAUCCUAUUAUCUUUUUGAAUUCUCCCAACUACACUAUAUCGGAGAAGUUUGUGCUUAUUAAGGAUUAUAUUGAUGGGUUGCCUUUUACUAAUACACAUGAUGAUUCUGAUAGAUAUAAUAUGCAUGUGCUUGCUGCUCAUACUUGCAAUUAUUAUGAGAGAGGAACUACAUCUCCGCCUCUUUAUGUUUACAACACGAUAGAAUUGCAAGAAACUGUUUAUACUAUGCAUUGGCCUUUACUAUGUGUGCAUGAAUUGUUCUUUUAUGACAUGCCGAUGCAUAGGAAGAGAGUUAGACUUCGUUGUUGCAUGAUAUAUGUUACUUUGUGCUCACUACUAAAUCACAAACCAUUGCUAAUUAAAAUUGGCUUUGAUAUACCUUGGGAUCCGGCUGGAUUCAUUACUUGAGCACUAAAUGCCUAGCUUAAUGGCUUUAAAGAAAGCGCUGCCAGGGAGACAACCCGGAAGUUUUAGAGAGUCAUUUAUUUCUGUUGAGUGCUUUUAUAUAGUCUAAAAACAAAAAAAUAAA
rnacentral:lncRNA from 1 species